CCUGCCAAAAACGAGAAGAGGGCCAGAACAGAAAGUGAUAUUUCAGGUAUGAGAAUUUGUGAACCACUGCAAGAAACUAUUUUUGUGUAGAACGGCAUCAAAGUAUCCCACCAAAAGUUAAAGCUAGUAAAUGUGAAUGAAACCAUUUGAAGAACGCACAGGGAGCUGAAGAAUGAGGAAGAAGAUGAACAAGGAAUAAACUCAUAAGACGAUAUACUAAAUGGCGAGUGAAGAUAACAAAUUAUGGGUUUGAUACCAGUUAAAAGGAUCCAAGCCAAAAGCUUAAACAAGUAGGUGAAAGAGAUCAAGCUAAACCUCAACCACAGAUACGUCAAGAAUGCUUGUGAGAUGUCUAGGCAAUGAACGACUGGUGCUAUUCUUUUGAGUUAUAAUUGAAACGGAAGUAGAUAACCUGCAUCUGUUGAAUGACGGCUAAAUCAAACAUCCACAAUCCCAGUCGAGAUGCCGCCACUCCACCCAUCAGCAUAUAGGCAGCUAUUAUGCUGUUUUGGACCCAUAUUGACCCAACACAUAGAAGCAGUAAAGUCCACUGCAAUAGUUUCACAUAAUGCAGAGUUCAGUUGUUUUUCACUGAUCAGUACACCCAAAAAAGUCCCAUACAAGUUGGUACUCGAAAAAUAUACCUGGGACCAGAUGGACCAGAGCCCAGUUCAGAGCGUGGAAAUAUCAAGAACCUCGAUUGAUCACCCCGUUUUUUACCCUUUUAGAGGAAAGCUAAACGUCAAUAGUAGUAGAUUAUAGGUAAGUCCUGUAAACUAAUGCGAAAGAAAUGAACUUUGAGGGUCCGUCAGUUUCCAGUGUGUUACCUGAGAACUGUAAAAUACAACAAAGCUAGCACAAUUCCAGGAAGCACAACUUCUUGCUCAAAGUACACUCUCCAAGCACUUACUAGGGGCAGAUUUGCAAUUUUCUCACCAAGACUUCUCUUUCGGCUUUUUUCUGCAUUUGCUGGAUGAUCAUCAUCUGGAACAGACAAGCUCUCUGUCAGUUCAGCAGGAAAAGGUUUCUGGGUUCUUUGUCGGUUUCGCUCAGCUAGAGCAGGAAUCCCCUGAUAUACUGACAUGAAAAGCCAGUACUCCGGCCAAACACUGAUGGUGCUCAAAACUGCCAAAGUCUGAUACAACAGCGGCAAACAACUUGCAGAUCAGAUCAAUCAGUCUUAUAACUGAAUUCAUCCGAGUAAGGAGUAUAGGGGCUUGGCCUUCCGACAUCACCACCACCCUGCAUUUAGAGGCACAUUAAAAGCAAAUUUGAAAAGGAAAAAAAAAGAAGAGAGAGAGAACAGUAUGCCUAUGGGAUGCUGGUAUUCAAGCUCAAUACUAUUACCAUUCUCUUUCAAUCAAGAUUGUUCCAGCAAGAGUGGAAAGCACGCCAACAGCUCCAGAAACAUUGGUCAAAAGGAUGAGCAAGACAAAAGCUUGAACACUUGUGGACUUCAAAUCUGGGUAGGCUAGCAAACCCAGAACCGUUCCUCCAGCAAAUAUGAAUGAAAAAUUCUGUGUCACGAGCCAAAGCUGGAGAACCUGCAACAAAUAUUUGACCCUCCUUGAAUGUAAAAUCGCACAGUUAUCAUAUUAAAAUAAACUGGUAUACUGUAAAAUGCGGAGCUAAAGUCCUGUUCAAUGUUUUCUUAGGUGCUGUAGUACAUGAAGAAUUGUAAGUCCAUCAGACCUUGACAUAACUCAGUCUAUCCACCCACUACCCAAUUAUCGGGCUGAACAAAGGCAGUGGAGGCAUUUUCCACCACUCCAUAGACAGCGGCCAACAGUAAAGAGUCUGGCCAAAUGUUGAUCAGGUAUAAGGCCACAGAGAAAUCCCACAUCCUGCAAGACAAGCAGGCAUGAAAGAUACUUCAUUUCCAAAUGGAGAGGGUAUCAAGAGAGAAGAUAAUCUGAGAAUAAAGCCGUUAGUUUAUUGAGAAUUGCCACACUUAUAUGGUCAAUUCAAGUAAAAGACUGACAUGAAAUUUAAUUGGCCAUGGGACCAAUUUUCCUAAUGAACGGCAUAAGACAGUUUUCACAGUUCGUUGAUGAACUGGGGCACAUUGAUGUUUCCACUAGCAAUCGUGUACCAUUUAUGAAUCAAUGUAUAGCAGAAAACAAGAGAUGUUAUCCUGUAACGUGAGUACUACUGAAAGGAAGCUAGGAUGUUCUCUUCAUCAUUCUUCCUAUCACUCUUUACCAGGUAAGUUCAGGAUUUGUACCAAGAAUUGGUAAUUUUUCGUUGGAACAAGAAUUUACAUCCCAUCAACACUUACUACAACUAGGACAACAAACUUGUGUAUUUUCCCACUAAACAGGGAGUAACCUCUCGUUUGGCGACUAGAAAGCAUUUCUUUGGUUGAAGUGAUUAGGCUACAUAGUCUAAACAGCAAAACCUUCAAUCGAAUCCAAAAACUUUGAUGUUCCAGUGACAUUAUAUCAGGCACGGAGGAGAAGGAUGGAUAUGUGAAGACACCAAUUGGGACAAUUUGAAAUGAUGGAAAGGUUUUGUUAUAUUCAAAAUAGGAAUGAUACAGAGAGUACGCAAACACGCUCGUAUAAAAGACUGAGAAGAGCACAUCAUCAUGUCCUGAGGAGAGCAUACUCAGAACAGCAACAGAACUUUUAGGAGAGUUGAACCAAAGUAAAUAGCACAGAACCUGGCACCCCAUCUGGCCAGGAAGUGGCCCGAGUACAAAUAUUUGGUGAGGUGCAAUGGGGAAGAGGGCUGUGGAGAAGACGUUUCAUGGUCGAGGAGCGGCUCCCUCAUCAUCUCUAUGGUAGGCAGUACUGAUCGAAUAAAAUAGCUGAAGCGUUGAUCUUGACGUUUACAGGCGCAUGAAUAUGAUGAUAACUAGACCCAUCAAAUGAUUGGGUAGGGUCGAGUUUGGGUCGGGUUGAAAAUGGGUCGACCCAUAUUUAACCCAUUUAACCCAUUUUGACUCAUAUUGAUGUAAUGUAAAUCAAGUGACCCAUACUCGACUCGAUCUGUAUUGCUAAAACCUAUUAAUAUUUUAAGAAAACACACUUCUAUUAUAUGCUAAUUAGAUUAAAACUUCAAAUUAAAUUAAAAAUAGUACAUAAAAUAAUUUUUUAAAAAACCUAUAAAUUGAAAUAUUUAUAAAAAAAAAUUAGACUAUGCACAUGCUUUUCUUAUUUGAAGUGAACAUAUCAUUGAAUAACUAAAAACUGUAACACGAAAUUUUUUUAACUAAGCCUAAAAAAGCUCAUUUUUAUGAUUUUUUUUUAUAAUUCUUUCUAAAAUAAUUUUUAAAAAUCGAUUUUUUAUUUUUUAAAUAUAAAAUUUUAAUUAUUUUUUAAAAUAUAAUUUUUAAUUUUUAAUAAUUAUUUUUUCUUUUUCUCUUUUCUUUUUUCUUCUUCUUCGCCCGGUCGUCGUCCGGCGAGGCUUGCUAGUCGUCGGCAACCUACCAGCGAGCUCGAGCCUCGCUUGGCCUGUUGCUGGCCAGUGGCUAAGGAAUGAAGAAAAAGAAAGAAAAAAGAAAAAGAAAAAAGAAAAGAAAAAAUUGAAAUAUGAAAAAUAAUUAUAAUUUCAAUUUUUUUUUUUUAUAAAAAAACAUUUUUAUAAAUUUAAAAAAUGACAUGGGUUUAAAGUGGGUUUCCUAAUAAUCCAUUUAUACCCAUUUCUUUUUGUGUUUUACUUUCUUAAACCCAUUUCUGACCCAUAUUUAACUUUCACGUGACUCAUAUAUGAUCCAUUUAACCAAAAAAAAAAAAAAAAAACUUAAAAUGGGUCAUAAUAUGGGUUUAUGACCCAUUUUGCCAACUCUAAUGAUAACUGGUGUAGGUUGUCUCUCCAAGCCUUAACAACUAGUGGAGGUGUCAACUGAUUUUGUCCUUUCCUGGUAGGGAAGACAGAACCCUAGAAAAGUCAAUUAGAGAGUUGGUUUUUUGAAAGGGUCAUUUAGGUUACAUCCAUGGAUGUGUAAUUGUAUAAACUAAGAUUAUGUCUGGUCAUUUGAAUUUCAUUUGUAGAUAGGAUAUGAUUGAAUAAGAUAAGAUGUAAAAUUUAAAAAUUUUACUAUAUCAUCUCUACUAUUUAGUGAAUCGUAAUAAUAAAACUGGAUAUUUGCAUAUCCUAUCAUGUCCAUUGUUUAAUAAAUCGCAGUAAUAAAAUCGAAUAUUUGUAUAUCCCACCAUGUCCAUUAUUUGGUAAGACUGACAUAUUUAUAUAAAUGAAUCUAAAAAUUACAUAAACGGAGACAGUAAGAAUUCAUUACUAUUCUCUUGCAUUUUCCAUUUAUAUUUGCUGCCUCUUUUCUUCUUUAAUUUUUUCCGCCCCUUCCAUUAUUCUCAAAUAAAAUUUAAUUAAAUAAUAUAACUAUAAUAAUAUACCUAAAAUGAGUAAUAAAUAUAAAUACUAAAUAUAUAUUGCAUUUGUAUUAAAAAAUAGAAAGACAUUCAAAUACAUAAAUAAGAUAGGAAUAAAUAAAAACGAAAUUGUUGUUAUUUUAUUAUUAUUUUGAAUUUUUUAUAGUAAAAUAUUAUUUUAAUUAUUAAUUUAAGAAAUUUGUUAUUCGAUAAAGAUAACUUUUGUAUUAUGGAUAUUUGAAAUCCUAUUCAUUUUUAUCUCACUUUUCAUAUAAUAUAUUUUUUCUCCGAACUAUAUAAUUAUUAUAUUGAACUUUAUCCUAUUUUGGGUAGAAACCAAACAUAAGAUAGGAUAAAUGUUAUAUUGGCUAAGGCUGCGCAUGACAACGCUUCUAUUCCCGGGAAUAGUUUUUUUUUUUUUUUUUUUCAGAAAUAGUUCUUUUCUAUUUCUGUUCCGGGGAACAAUUUCUAAGUAAAAGAACCCGUUUGGUAAGGACACAAAAUUUCUACUCUUGGAAUAGAAAAAGAAUAGAAAUGCGUUUGGUAACGAAACAAUUUCUUUUUUGUAUUUAUUCAUUUUUUAUUUUUGCUGACGGAUCGCCGCCACUGCCGCCGCCACCGCCAGGCAGCGACGGCGACCGGCGGCACCAGCGACCGUGGCGGCGGCGGCGGCGGCAGGCAGCGGUGGCGGUGGGCAGUGGCUCCGGGCAGUUAAUGAUGGCCGCGGCAAGAAAAGAAAAUUAAAAAAGAAAAUCAGCUUACUUCUAGAAAUUGUUCUCGGGAACAAGAAGCAACUUUUUUUUGCUUCUCAAAACUGUUCCUGGGAACAAUACGAGAACAAAAAUUAGAGAAAUUGUUCCUGGGAACAAAUGUUUUACCAAAUAGGUUUCUGUUCUUUUUUUGUUCUGGGGAACAAAAGAACAAAAAUUGGGAGAAACAGGAGCAUUACCAUGCGCUACCUAAAUGUAACCAGACCACCCCCUUAGGCAAAAAUGUGAACCAGAUGACCCCCACGGCUCCCCCGAAUCUCCUGCAGUGAGCUGUCGGUAGGCUAUUGGCCAGCACCCUUGUGUCCCGGUGCGCUCGCCCGUACCCGAUCCAACGCGCGCACGAAUAGCGAAAUCGAGCUGUCAAAAAGCAGGAUGCUUUCCUUAUUUCCGCAGCCGAAGAGACAGCUCUCGAACUUCUUCCUUCUUCUUCCUCCUUCUGCAGAAGCGUGUUGCGCAUACCUUAACGCAUUCAAGGAUUCGGAUUCCCGCAAGAUGUCAGGCACAGAAGACGGCCAAAGCACACCUCGCCGUAGCCAAUGGUGCCGCCGUCCGCCCCGGCGGCGGCGGCCACGGACUUCGAGAGCCCGGUCCCUUCGCCUCCGGUUGCGGGGGCGGGGUUGCGGAUGGGGGUGCCAAUGAUCGUGAGGCGAUGGAGGAGGGACGAUCUGAUCCAGAAGGGUUCCCUAGUGCUCCGGGGGCUAGCCUUGCUGUUCUCGCUGCUCAACUUCAUCAUCAUGACGAGCGACAAGCACGGCGACUGGAAGGACUUCGACAGAUACAAGGAAUUCAGGUCUGACUUUGACGUCUCUCUCUGUGUCUCUCUUUCUGUCACUCUCGCUCUCUCUCUCUUUUGAUCGAUUUGCGGAUGUGGGUUGUUGGUGUUUUGUUGAAAGUUUUGGUUUUUAGAAGUGCACAUCAAUUCUUGAACUUGGCGAUAAUUGUUUUCGGGUGUAGGAUAAUAGCUUGUAGAAAUUUUAGCAGUUUGAAUGAUGGAUUGAAAGGCAUUCAGGACUGCACCGAAAGAAAUCAAAGAGGAUAAAGGAAGAGAAAAAUAUUGAGACCGAAGACGUAGAACUUUGGGAAUUUUGUGUAUAUUGUCUUCUAUGAAUAAUUUGAUGUACAGCUUCUAGUAGUUAUAAUACAAGAUGUAUGUAAUGAAUCGAAGUUAGAGAUUCUAUGAAUCAAUCUAAUCUAGAUCUAAUCUUUAAUUGAUUUGUACAGAAUUGUAAUCGGAUCAAAUCCUCUAUCAAAUAUCACGAGCUACGUCGCAUAUCUUCCAACAUUCGCUCUCAAACUGGUGGCUUGUAGAUAUCUAAGACGCCUAGCUUGUUUAAUAGAUAUGCGUGCUGUCUUUAACACAGAUUUGGUGAAAAUGUCCGCAGGCUGCUCUGUUGUUCCAAUUCCUCUUGUUUCAAUUACUCCUUAUAAAAUUUCGUCUCGUGUAAAAUGACAAUUCACUUCUAUAUACUCGGUUCUCUCAUGUAUUAUAAGAUUUGUUGCAAGUUUCAGAGCCGCAUCAUUAUCGCAGAAUAGCUUUGUUGUCCCUUGUACUUGUACUCCGAGAUCUUUAAGAAGACCUCGUAUCCACAUUAUUUGACAAGUAGUUUUGGCCAUAACUUGAUAUUCUGCUUCAGCUGAAGAUGAAGACACAAUUGGUUGCUUCUUGGUCUUCCAUGAGAGUAAUGAUUCUCCCAAUUUAAUGCAAUAUCCAAUAACGGAUCUUCAACUCAUGGGAUAAGUUGCAUAAUCUGCAUCACAAUAUGCUGUCAUUUCCGUGUUGCAUUUUCUGGAUAGGAGAAUCCCAAGUCCUGGACACUUCUUUAGAUAUUUGACGACCUUCAAGGCAGCAUUCAUAUGUGAUUGCUUCGAACUGUGCAUGAACUGGCUAAGUGUUUGUAUCGCAUAAGAAAUGUUGGGUUUGGUCAUCGUCAGAUAUAUAAGUUUUCCGACGAACCUUUGAUAGCUUGAAGGAUCUUCCAGUGUGGAAUCAUCAUCUUGAAGCAUUCCCUUGUCAUAAUCUACGGUAGUCAACUUAGUGUUAUGUUCAAUGGGAAUAAUGGCUGGCUUGUAUCCUGAUAGACCUGCUUCUGAUAUAAUCUCCAAUAUAAAUUUUCGCUAACUGAGGGAAAUCAUUUGGUCAAAUCGAGCAAUUUCAAUACCAAGGAAAUACUUAGGUGCUCCUAAGCCCUUAAUAUGGAAGGUGACAUGCAAAUAUUCCUUAAAGCUUUCUAUGGCAGCUUUAUCAUUUCCCAUAAUAAGGAUGUCAUCGACAUAUAUCAUCAAAUAAAUAGAUGACAUACCUUUAAUCCGCGUAAAUAAAGCAUAAUCAUGUUUAGACUGUUUAAAGCCUGAUGUUGAAGAGCAUUGGCAAAUUUUGCGUACCACUGCCUAGAAGCUUGUUUCAACCCAUAAAGAGAUUUACGGAGGCGACACACUUUAUUCUCCCCUUAUCUCUGUAAGCCCUGAGAAAUAUCCAUAUAGAUUUCUUUGUCCAAGUCACCAUGAAGAAAGGCAGUGUGCACAUCUAUUUGAUGUAAAGGCUAGUCGUGAAUAGCAGCAACUGUCAAGAAUGAUCGGACUGUGACAUCUUUAGCUAUAGGAGAUAAUGUCUUGUGAUAGUCAAAUCCUUCUCGUUGAGUGAAUCCUUUGGCCACCAAUCGUGCCUUAUAUCUUUCAAUGGAGCCAUUAGCACAAUGUUUAAUUUUGUAAACUCAUUUGCAGCCAAUUAGUUUACAAUUUGGUGGCAGCGAAACUAGAUCCCAGGUCUUAUUAUCAAUCAAUGCUUCCAUGGCCUUUUGCCAUCAUGGAUCAGCAGAUGCCUCAUCAUAGCUAGAUGGUUCCCUAUCUUCUGACAAGCGACUAACAUAACAUCUAUGUUUCGGUGAUAGUUUAUGAGAUUGGAAACAUAGGAUGAGAUUGGAUAUUUGAUACCUGGUGAAUUGAGAGUGGCACACAUAUAAUCCUUUGUCCAGGUUGGAGGUCGUGUAGCCCGACCAUAACGUUUUGGAGGAUCAUCUUUUGGAGGGGAAGAUGUCUCUCUGGAUGACAUUGGUAAAAUAUCCUGGAUUUCUUCAUCAGCAGAAGAAUCUUCCAUUGAAUUCCCUAGAAUAUUCUCUGAAUUCGGAUUCUCAUCCGAAAUAGGUGCUGCUGCCGGAAUACUCAUGGGCAUAGAAGGAGCAUUGGCCGGUGUUGCUAAUGGUAUAUAAUCAGGAUCUUGAUAUGUUGCUUCAUCAGAUAAAGAAGUACGAGGAAUAGUGAUUAUACCUGAAUCUUCAUGUGGUGAUAUCUGUUCACUAAAUGGAAAAACAUUUUCAUGAAAGAUAACAUCUCUACUUACCAAGAAUUCCUUUGUAGAUAGCUCAAGAACACGAUACCCCUUCUGUAGAUUGGGAUAUCCCAUGAAUAUGCAACGUCGAGCACGAGGACUCAUCUUGUCCCAGGGGCCCACUAUGAUGACAUAACAUAAACAUCCAAAAACUUUGAGAUGUUUCAGCUCCGGCUUCUUCCCAAAUAGUAGUUCAAAAUGUGUUCGCCCAUUGAGUAUCCGAGUAGGCAUGCGGUUGAUUAAAUAAGCUGCUGUAAUAACACAAUCUCCCCAAUAUUCCUCUAGGACUGAUGCUUGGAAUUUCAGGGCUCGAGCGACUUCUAAAAGGUGAUGAUGUUUACGCUUAACUAUUCCAUUCUGUUGUGGUGUAUAGACGCAAGAGCUUUCAUGUUGGAUCCCAUGAGAUGAAAAUAAUGAAGAGCAAUCAUGGUUGAAGAAUUCCCUUCCGUUAUUAGUACGGAUCCGAUGAAUGGAUUUUCCAAAUUGAUUUUUGGAAAGUGCAAUGAAUGUUUUUAAAUGAGAAUAAACUUGGCUUUUGGACUGCAUAAAAAAAAAUCCAUGUUGCACGAGAAUAAUCAUCUACUAUUAUAAGGAAGUAACGAGACCCAUCGUGAUUUAUCGUAUGGUAAGUCCCCCAAACAUCCACAUGAAUUAACGAGAAAAUUUCACUAGCACAAGUGCUCCUAGAGGGAAAAGGGGUACACGACUAUUUCAUAAGAGGACAUAUGGAACAUUGAGGACAAGGAAAGGAGGCACUGUGACCCAUUCUCAAGUGCAUAAUGAAAUUCUUAUCAUUAGUAGUCAAAUUACACAAUGAUGGUUUAUUGAAAGAUGUGCAAGAUAAAUCAAAAUUACUAGGAAAAUUUGUCCAGAAAAAUAGUCCUUCAGAAAGACUACUCAAGCCCAUUAGUCUGCUAAUUGAAAGGGGCUGAAAGAAACAUGUGCCAACAUCAAAGAAUACCCGACAUGAAUUUUCUUUGCACACUUUUGACAUGGAAAUGAUAUUAAAUUGGAACUCUGGGACAUAAAGGACGUUUUGAAGGGUAAUUUGAGGGCUGAGAUUGAUUGUUCCUGUCACAUUCACAUGAGUAAUAUUUCCAUUGGGUAAUUUUACGGAAAUGAGAAAAUUCAACACUUCGUUUAUACUUGAGAAAUAUCCUUUGUCACAUAUAAUGUGAUCACUUGCUUCUGAAUCAAUAAUCCAUGCCCUCAUUGAAAUGGAAUUAAUCAAGCAAUGUAUGAUACCUGAAAAACUCCCUCCUUUGUUGGAAGUAUCCAACUUUUGCAAUGCAUGUAUCAGCUGUUGAUAUUGACCAUAUGAGAUAGGUUGGUCAACAUUCUGGCCUGUAGGUCCAGUGACUUGGUAAGCAACUAGAAUUUUUUUCUCUUUUUUUCCAAGCUUUCUAUGUAAUUUCCAAUAGUUGUCAAUCAUAUGGUUAGAACGUUUGCAAUAAUCGCAAAACAUUUUACCCUUUCCUUUAAAUUUGAUCUAGAAUUCUUUGAUGACGUGGCAAAGAUCUAACCAUCCAUUCCUUUUGUCGAGAACUCAUAUCCACUGUACGAUCCAUCUGCGAUCUCGGACUCGUGCAGGACAUCCGAUCCUCGUGCCCAAUCUAGACCAUCAGAUCCUCACGCCCAAUCUAGGCCGUUCAUUCCAUCCCUUUUAAGGGAUCGCAUUUCUGCUCCCCCGAACGCUAGCGUGCCCCUCUUUUCUUUCUCUUGGAUUAGGGUUCUGGAGGAACCAUCGUGCCAUUUGCCAUAGGCUGCGAAGGUGAUACUGUCACUGCUCCUCGCGUGUUCCGACGAUGUGAUCCGUUGGCUCUCCUCCUGUACAGCCACCUGGAAAAUUCUUUCGGUUGGAGAUACUUGAUCCAUGGUCAGAAUCUGUGAACGAAAGGUAAUGUAAGAUUCAUUCAAAAUCAGUAGGAAGCGUGUAGUCUUCUCCCUUUCUUUGAUGAUCUGUACUGUUUGAGUGUUGAUUCUGGUCCCUCGAGCUUUUCUUCAACUGCUUCUAGAUCGUUCCAUAAUGACGAUAGCUUGUUGAAGUAAGUUGUGACCAUCAUGUUUCCCUGUUUGAGCCCGCUGAGUUCAUACAUGAGGGAGAAAAUUUUUGCUCGAUCUAGUUUACCAUACAUCUCCUUAAUAUUUUCCCACAUGUUUCGAGCAUCCUCUGUUGGUGGAAGUCUGGCCGCAACAUCUGGAGAUAUGCAAUUUCUGAUCCAGGUUUGGACAAGUUGGUUGCACUUCCUCCGAUGUCAGGCUAGGCGCUCAUCCAAGGGAACGGCGAUGGUUCCAUUGAGGAACCCAUCUUUAUCCUUCGUUACCAGUGCGCGCCAGAGCUCCUGUGACCACCAAGAGUAAUUUUCUAGCCCGGUCAACUGUUGGUUGAUUAGUUGCAGUUCUGGUCCGUUGGCGGUGGAGACGAACAGGGGGUCACCGGGUUCUUGUCGUCCGGUGAGAGUUGCCGCUGGGUAUGGCAGAAAUCCGGGUGAAAAUCCCGGGUAGGGAUUUGUUCUCAUACCGGGAUUAUUCGACCCGGUUCCAUAACCCGCAUUGAAAACGGUCAGAUAUGGAUUUGUUCCAAUACCUAAUCCUUUCAAUCCACUUGCCUGCCUCGCAGUUGCUGCAUCCGACCCAAUGGUCGUGCUUACCCCCUUUACGGUUGGUGGGCUACCGUCGGGUUGGAAGGAGGCCCAUUGGCUCUAAAUCCCUUGCGAUGAUGCAUUCGAGCUUAGCCCAAACAAUCAUGGGUUGGGCUGCAUCUGAAAUGGCAGCCAUUGGUAAGGAUGGCCGAUCAUCGGUUGGCCCGAAAUGGGUUGAACCAAGAAGGGUUGCCUUAGAUUUGUCUAAGCUAGAAGAGAUUGACCAUAUAGGCUAGAAGAGAUUGACCAUAUAGGGCCCAAGCAAGUUGUUCUUGAGAUCUAGCGACAUCAAUAGUGGAAGUGGCGUCCUGGCUUUCUACAGGUUGCACUGGAUUUCCUUCUUGCGGAUUUUCACCAGAGGCUGAAGGUAAGUUUUUCGUCAUGGUAAAAAAUUCCUUGCUGAGAUGUCGAGUCUUGUAUGCAGGAUUGAAGAAUCUCAGCAGGGACAAGAUUAAAAGGAGCAGAAGCAAGAUCAUAAGCUUUUUACUGCUCUAAUACCAUGAAAGAAAUCAAAGAGGAUAAAGGAAGCGAAAAAUAUCGAGACCGAAGACGUAGAACUUUGGGAAUUUUGUGUAUAUUGUCUUCUAUGAAUAAUUUGAUGUACAGCUUCUAGUAGUUAUAAUACAAGAUGUAUGUAAUGAAUGGAAGUUAGAGAUUCUAUGAAUCAAUCUAAUGUAGAUCUAAUCUUUAAUUGAUUUGUACAGAAUUGUAAUCAGAUCAAAUCCUCUAUCAAAUAUCACAAGCUACGUCACAUAUCUUCCAACAUGCACUGUGGCACAAAAGUUUUUGGAUUUGCAGUACACUUUUUUUUGCUGGAUUCUAGGAAAGUUUUUUUGGGAUUGAACUGGAGAUUUUCGCCCAGGUAUCUGUUGGCGAUAUUGAUCCUGGCGACCCUGUACACCGAAGUGCAGGCGUUGCGGCAUGUCCACCAGAUUUCCAUUGGGCAGGAUCUCGUCAAGCGCCAGAUGUCGGCACUGAUCGACUUCGCCAGCGACCAGUGUUGGCUGGGUCCACCUUCAUGUGGGGCCCAGCCAGCACUAACAAUAAAAUUAAAAAAAAAAAGGAAAAAGAAAAGAAAAGAACAAAAAGAAGUGGAAGUUGUCGUACGUGGGGUGUCAUUCGAAAAGUGAAGAGAGGAGAGAGAAAAGGAAAACAAAAAUUGCACAAGGAAGGAAGAAGAAGGAAGAGGGCUGCAACUUUGCGGCUUUGAUUCAAAGGCCAAAUAUUGACGGAAUCGGCUCAAAUUUCAGUAUGUUGUUCGUGAGAUCGAGGGCUACAAGUUGAUGGUUUUUGUUCGUCGAGAACCGUCUCCGAAUCCUCCAAUUGCGGCUAAGGUUUUCUUGCUCCAAACUUAUUUGUCUACCUAUGUGGUGGGAAAAAAUGAUUGUAAUGUUGAUGUUGAGCCUCUAGUGUGUGACUAGAGAAGAAUACUUUGUGUAUCCUGCUAUUCUUGGUGAUUAGUGGAUAUUUUUGGGCGGUCCGUGGUUUUUCCCACAUCGGGUUUUCCACGUUAAAUCCUUGGUGUCGUUAUUUUCUUUGUCUACUUAUCAUUUCAGCGUUAUAUUUGCAUUUUGUGAGGCUAUACAUUGCUGGUUGUUGCUGGGGGUUAAGAAAAUUUAGUUGAUUUUGCUUCCGGGGAGAAAUUGAUCAUGGAUUGCGUUUGGCUGUGGUGAAUUGUUGUACUCGAGUUCUCUCCAACAAGUGGUAUCAAAGCACGGUUGAAUUUUAGUGUUAAAUGGAAGAAACCAGCAGCACCAUGUUUAAGUUAAAUGCCUCGAAUUAUUCUAUUUGGAAGCCUCGGAUGGAAGAUGUGUUAUAUUGCAAAGACUUAUUUGAUCCUAUUGAGGGUGAUGAAGCCAAAGGAGAUAAGGAAGACAAAGAAUGAGAGAGAAUGAAUCGGAAAACGGUUGGGUUUAUCCGACAAUGGAUUGAUGAUAGUGUGUUUCAUCAUGUUGCUCAAGAAACAAAGGCGGACACUUUGUGGAAGAAAUUACAAGAUCUUUAUGAGAGAAAAACUCCACAAAAUAAAGCUUUUCUAGUUAAGCGACUUGUGAAUUUGAGAUACAAAGAGGGGAGUAACAUGUCGGAACACUUGAGUGAAUUUCAAGAUGUUGUAAAUCAAUUGACAAAUCUUGAGAUUGAUCUUGGUGAUGAAUUGCAGUCAUGCUUAUUACUUGGUACUCUUCCUGAUAGUUGGGACACUUUGGUUGUGGCAUUAAAUAACUCGGCUCCUUUUGGUGUGCUUUCUAUGAGCAUGGUUAAAGAAAGCUUGUUCAAUGAAGAAACAAGAAGAAAAGGCUUGAAUUAUGCCUCUACAUCAGAUGCUCUUGUUAUAGAAAACAGGGGGAGAAGUCAAUCAAGAAGGUUUCAAAGAAAUAAUACUCGAGGCAAGUCAAGAGGAAGGUCGAAAUCAAGAUCGAGGAGGAGUGUCAAGUGUUAUAAUUGCGGCAAAAUGGGACACUAUGCAAAAGAGUGUUGGUUGCCAAAGAGAGAUAGAUUCCAUGAUAGAAAUGGAGAUCAAAAGAAAGAAGAGAAACAAGCUACAACGGCGGUUGCAUCCGAUGGCGAUAUUGUGUUUGUAUGUGAUGACGGAUAUGUGAAUUUUACAUGCCAAGACUUUAUGUGGGUUGUUGAUUCCGCAGCUUCUUUUCAUGUCACCUCACGGCGUGAUUACUUUGCUUCUUAUCGCAGCGGCGACUUUGGUUGCAUAAGGAUGGGAAAUAGUGAUGUUUCCAAGGUUAUUGGCAUGGGAGAUGUUUAUUUGGAAACCGAUGUCGGAUGUAAUUUGCUUUUGAAAAAUGUGAGACAUGUCCCGGAUAUUAGACUUCACUUGAUCUCUACGGGUGCCUUAGAUGAUGAUGGUUAUUGUAAUUCAUUCUUUGAUGGCAAAUGGAAGUUGACUAAAGGUUCCAUGGUAGUGGCAAAAGGUAAGAAGACAGGCUCUCUCUAGACCAUGCAAGCUGACUUGAUUAAAGAAGAGGUAAAUGCAGUGGAGGAUUCCUUGGUUGAUUUAUGGCAUAUGAGGCUGGGCCAUCUUAGCAAGAAAUGACUUGAAACUCUUGCUAGAAAGAACCUUUUACCUUUGAAAGAGAAAAAUCUAAAGUAAUGCACUCAUUGUCUGACUGGUAAGCAACAUAGAUUCUCAUUUCAGAGUUCCUCUCCACACAGGAAAUUAAAUGUACUUGAUUUAGUUCACACUGAUGUUUGUUGCAUGGAUGCUAGAACUCUUGGAGGUGCAUUAUACUUUGUGACAUUUAUUGAUGACUGUUCUAGAAAAGUGUGGGCUAUUGCUUUGAAAUCUAAAAAUCAGGUACUUGAGGCUUUCAAGCAAUUUCAUGUCAAUGUGGAAAGAGAAACCGGGAAGAAGCUGAAAUGUGUUCGGGCUGACAACGGUGGUGAAUAUAGAGGCCCAUUUGAACACUAUUGUAGGGAUUAUGGUAUCAAGCUUGAGAAGACUGUUCCAAAAACACCACAGCAUAAUGGAGUGGCAGAGAGAAUGAACCGGACAAUUAAUGAUCGGAUUCGGUGUAUGCUUUCUCAUGCGAAGUUGUCUAAGUCAUUUUGGGGUGAAGCGAUGAGAACAUCAGUAGACUUGAUAAAUCUUUCUCCAUCGGUUCCUCUUAAGGGGGAUGUUCUGCAAAGAGUUUGGAGUGGCAAAGAUGUUUCCUACAGCCAUCUAAAAGUGUUCGGUUGUCGGGCAUUUGUGCAUGUUCCAAGAGAUGAAAGAUCCAAGCUUGAUGACAAGUCUAAACAGUGUAUCUUCUUAGGUUAUGGACAUGAAGAGUUUGGUUACAAGUUAUGGGAUCCAGUUGCAAAGAAGGUCAUUAGAAGCCGAGAUGUGGUGUUUUGUGAGUAUCAAACUAUUGAAGACAUUGACAAGGUGGAGAGACCAAAGAAUACAGCUCAACGUUCAGUUAGUUUCAGCCCAAAUCCUUCUAAUGUUGAUAGAAAUCAUGGAGAAGAAGUGCAAGGAAGUCAUGAAGAUGGUGAGUCCUCACAUAAUGUUGAUUCUUCAGCUGAUACAGGUGAAAUAACUGAGGAAGAGCAAUCUAUCAUACUUCAAGUUAGAAGAUCUGAAAGAGAGUGUAGGCCUUCUCAAAAACAUUUGCCACAUGAGUAUGUGUUACUCACUGAUGCAGGGGAGCCAGAAACUUAUGAAGAGGCAAUAUCAUGUGAAAGAAAGAAUGAGUGGCAUGAAGCCAUGCAAGAGGAGCUUAAAUCCCUGCAUGAGAACCACACAUUUGAAUUGGUGAGGUUGCCUCAGGGUAAGAGAACACUCACAAAUAAGUGGGUGUACAAGUUGAAGACGGAAGAAAAUAGUUUACAACCACGAUACAAGGCUAGACUUGUUGUGAAGGGCUUUCGUCAAAAGAAGGGCAUAGACUUUGAAGAGAUUUUUUCACCGGUUGUAAAGAUGUCUUCUAUUCGAGUUGUUCUUGGGUUGGCCGCCAGUUUAAAUUUAGAAAUUGAACAACUUGAUGUAAAGACGGCUUUUCUUCAUGGAGACCUAGAAGAGGAGAUAUAUAUGGAGCAACCAGAGGGUUUUGAAGUUGAAGGCAAGGAGCACCUUAUUUGUAGAUUGAGGAAAAGCUUAUAUGGUCUCAAGUAAGCGCCUAAGCAAUGGUAUAUGAAGUUUGAGUCAUUCAUGGAAGAACAAGGAUACGGUAAGACAAAUUCCGAUUCUUGUGUUUUUAUGAAAAGAUUCUCAGAUAAUGAUUUUCUUAUUCUCCUACUUUAUGUGGAUGAUAUGUUGAUUGUUGGGCAUGAUGCCAAGAAAAUCAAGAGUUUGAAAAAUGAGUUGAGUAAAGCUUUUGCAAUGAAAGACCUAGGCCCGGCUAAGCAAAUCUUAGGCAUGAGAAUUACUCGUGAUAGGAAGAAUAAGAAAUUGUGGUUAUCUCAAGAGAAGUAUAUUGAGAAGGUGCUUGAAAGAUUUAACAUGAGCACAUGUAAACCGGUGAGUACUCCACUUGCAGGCCAUUUCAAGUUGAGUAGUAAUGAGUGUCCUUCAAGUGAGAAAGAGAAGGUUGAGAUGAUGAAAAUUCCUUAUGCAUCGGCCGUGGGUAGUUUGAUGUAUGCCAUGGUUUGUACAAGACCGGAUAUUGCUCAUGUAGUUGGUGUUGUGAGUAGAUUUCUCUCUAAUCCAGGUAAGGAGCAUUGGACCACUAUUAAAUGGAUUUGAGAUAUCUUAGAGGCACUUCUACACUUUGCUUGUGCUAUGGAAAUGCAAAGCCUGAGUUGAGUGGUUUCUCGGAUGCGGACUAUGCCGGUGUUGCUCAUGUAGUUGGUGUUGUGAGUAGAUUUCUCUCUAAUCCAGGUAAGGAGCAUUGGACCACUGUUAAAUGGAUUUUGAGAUAUCUUAGAGGCACUUCUACACUUUGCUUGUGCUAUGGAAAUGCAAAGCCUAAGUUGAGUGGUUUCUCGGAUGCGGACUAUGCCGGUGAUGUUGAUUCCCGAAAAUCCACAUCGGGUUUUAUAAUAAUCUUUGCAGGGGGAGCUGCUUCAUGACAAUCGAGAUUGCAAAAAUGUACCGCUUUGUCUACAACUGAAGCGGAGUAUAUUGCUAUUAUCGAAGGAGGUAAAGAACUUUUGUGGAUGCAAAAAUUCCUACAAGAGUUGGGCUUGAAACAAGAGAAGUUUGUUCUAUAUUGCGAUAGCAUGAGUGCCAUCCAUCUUAGCAAGAAUCCAGUGUUUCAUUCAAGAUCGAAGCAUGUUGAUGUGAAGUAUCAUUGGAUCCGAGAAAAGCUAGAAGAUAAGCUCUUCCUACUUGAGAAAGUUCAUAUCGACAACAAUAAGUUCGACAUGAUGACCAAAGCCUUGCCUGUGAUGAAGCUUGAUGCUUGUAGAAGAAAAGCGGGCAUGAUGAAUCUUCCCACAUGAGGUGGAGGGGGAGAUUUGUUAGCUAGGUCCACCUUCAUGUGGGGCCUAGCUAGCACUAACAAUAAAAUUAAAAAAAAAGGAAAAAGAAAAGAAAAGAACAAAAAGAAGUGGAAGUUGUCGUACGUGGGGUGUCCGUCGAAAAGUGAAUAGAGGAGAGAGAAAAGGAAAAAAAAAAUUGCACAAGGAAGGAAGAAGAAGGAAGAGGGCUGCAACUUUGCGGCUUUGAUUCGAAGGCCAAAUAUUGACGGAAUCAGCUCAAAUUUCAGUAUGUUGUUCGUGAGACCGAGGGCUACAAGUUGAUGGUUUUUGUUCGUCGAGAACCGUUUCCGAAUCCUCCAGUUGCGGCUAAGGUUUUCUUGCUCCAAACUUAUUUGUCUACCUAUGUAGUGGGAAAAAAUGAUUGUAAUGUUGAUGUUGAGCCUCUAGUGUGUGACUAGAGAAGAAUACUUUGUGUAUCCUGCUAUUCUUGGUGAUUAGUGGAUAUUUUUGUGCGGUCCGUGGUUUUUCCCGCAUCGGGUUUUCCACGUUAAAAUCCUUGGUGUCGUUAUUUGCUUUGUCUACUUAUCAUUUCGGCGUUAUAUUUGCAUUUUGUGAGGCUAUACAUUGCUGGUUGUUGCUGGGGGUUAAGAGAAUUUAGUUGAUUUUGCUUCCGGGGAGAAAUUGAUCCUGGAUUGCGUUUGGCUGUGGUGAAUUGUUGUACCCGAAUUCUCCCCAACAACCAGGUGGGUCAUCGGUCCUUGUCAUGCUUUCAUUUCGUGUUCUAGUCAUUUUUACUAUCGCUGUUGUUGGAACGUGGCGAAGACAAAGUCAUCUUCUAUCAUCCAGGUCAUUUUCCCUAGACAGUAUCCUGUGAAAAGGCUUAUCUGCUUUACUAGGAAUGACAGAUUUUCUGAGAUGUUCGAAUAGAGAGGGUGAAGAGAAAGAGCACAUAUUUGCCAUUCAAGUAUCCGAAAGCUUGCGAAAAUUCGAAGAUAGAUUUGGGUAAAUGAAGUUUUCGAUGUGGAGAGAUGAAUCGCUUUGAAAUUCAUCGAUUACUCGUCGUGUGCCUUUUUCCUGGCCAACUUUCUAUCUGUUUCGACCGAGGUCACAAAGUCCCCCUUCUUUUGUUCAAAAGUCUUCAAUUCAACCUGAGUUACAUCAUUGUCAGCAUUCGAGAACAUGGGACCAAAUUCCAUCUGUAAAAGCCAGACCUUUUCGUUGCACAAUUAGUCAAUUAGACAAGAACAGAUCACAUGGAAUGUCUAAGCUCUGUCUUAAUCAUUGGGUUUCCCAUUCAUUUUGCUGGCCCCAAACAUACUCUUUGCGUGGUCCUCAUUAAGAAGAGAAAUUUAGAUUUAUAGUACUGGGUUAUAGCAAUCACUUGCCAGAGGAGGUGGGAUGGAGUUGACCAAAAAGGAUCCAGAGCCCAUAUGUUCCAAUAGAGCAUUUCAAUCUUAAACCAUGAUCUCAUCUGAUAGAUUGGUCUUCAACAUAGCAGCAACUCACAAUUUCUACAUGAUACUGGAAUAGGGGAUCAUGCUUUGCCUCCUCAUAUAAUUCGAUUGUUGCAUUUUAGCCUCGACAAUGGUCUCGCAAUUUCACGUGCCCACAUGUUCACCUCUCUAUGGAGAUUGUCUACAUAUCAUUUCGCAAUUGAAAUGAAUCUAUGUGAUAAUGCUGUUUCGAUGUAUUGACUGCAAUUUAAUUAUCUUGGGUUGCAUCAGGUUGUGGCAUACCUCCUGAUAUCGGCAGCAUCUUUGGCCGUGCCCAUGACCAACAGGAUGAGAAACAAUGCGGAUAAUCUGUUCACCGACUGCUUAGCGGCUUCGAUAAGCAUGGCCUUCUUUGGCUUCCUCACGUUGGCUUUGUCUGCACUUAUUUCCGGAUACAAACUCUCGACCCAGUCCUACAUUUAGUUUUGAGUUCGUUCCGCUCACAUGUCCGUUGUUUGUACUACUGUUAUGCCUUCAUUCUUUGUAUGCACGGGGUUUAAUUAUAUCUUUGUAAAUUUCGAUGGUUUCGUGAAAGGAGUGGUGUGUUUCGGCUUGCCUCUGUAUUUUAGUUUUUGGGUGUUUCGAUCGGUAAAUUUGCACGAUGAAGAAGGUUUAGAAAGUUGGUUGGUCUCUCUCCAAUUCUCUGGCUGCGAUGAAGAGAUUCUAUUAGACCAUUCAAAAACCAAAUCAUCCCCAGACAAGAAGCAGGACACGUGUAAUCUGUCCAUCAGCAUUCAUUAACAGUUAAAAGACAGAUAAAUUGCACGUUCUGUUGUUCGCUGUCUUAAACAUGCGAAAACCGUCUCUUUGCAUAAGGAAUUAACACAAGAAGUUAAUAAUGUGCAUGAUAAUCAUUUUAUUUUUGUUUCGAAACUAUUUUUCUAUUUUAGAAAGAAGUCUAGAACAUAAAUUCAUUUGAUAUCCCAAUGUCAUCUUUCUAGUUCUGGAACAAAUUUUUUGUGUAGAAAUUGGUUUAAAAUAGAAAUAAGAAGUAAACAUUUUCUCCUUAUCUAUUUUUGGAACAUAAAUGAUAAAUAAAAAUUUUUCUCAUCGCUCGUCCUUGCUACUAGUUGGUCACCCACCCGCCAUCUCUUGCUGUUUGCCACCCGGUCACUGCUCACUGCGUGCCUGCCACCCAUCAUCCGCCAUCCAUCGUUUGCCAGUGCUCAGGAGAGGAAAAUUUUGUGUCGUUAUCAAACAUGUUUUUUUCUUAGAAACUUAUCUAGAAAUAGAAAUAGAAUAACCAAUUUUUGUUCUAUAAAUCAAUUUUUGGCCAUCAUUAUCAAACAUGUAUUUUUCCUUAAAAACUCAUCCACAAAUAGAAAUAGGUUAUGUUCCAUAAAUCAAUUUAUGAUCAGAAUGGUUAUCAUUCACACCCUAACUUAGCACGAGGAUUUGGCAAAUGCAGAAGCAGCAUUUUCGUGUUUGAAACACAUCCUAAAAUAGAGUUGCAGUUUUCAUCUCUCAAUCUUAUUAAAAUCUUGAUAGUUGAAGUUGCCAUAUUUAUCUAACUUCAGAGGAUUCUUACCUGUGAUCUAGCUCUAUAGGUUCUUGCAGAUUAUCCUAAAACAGCACAGAAUAUAUAAAAAUUUGCUCACGCGUUUUAACUCCGACAACUUUCCGAAGGUCGUCUCAUCAACCAACUGCCCAGCUGAGUGAUCUUUUCAAAAUGAAUGAGAUGAUUGCGCACGCGAUAAACAUGCGAAGUAUAUAGAAUCGCCGACAGCGUAACCGCUAGAAAAGAUAACAGCAUCAGCUUCCAGAAGUCCUGAUGCAAUAAUCACAAUUUGAGAAGUUAGAUUCUGAAGCAAAAGAUGGCCAGACUUGAGAGGGGAAAAAGAAAAAGCAGAGUUCACAAACGGUGCAUCAUCCAUUUAAUUGAAGCAGCACUCAGAAUCAAUCACCUGUGGAUUCGAGAUGAAUAUUCCCAUAACAUAAGCCAUCAAAUCCAAAAAGGACUGGAGUGAGUUCUGAACACCUCCAACGACGCAUCGGUCGGAUUCUGGCACCUCGUCCUGCCAAAAAGCCAAUGAGAGAAAUGAGGAUAGACAACAAAAGUCUCCAGGCCAGGCAAUGAACAAGUGUUCCAACUGUGUAUGGUUAGGAAAGAAUAGAUCAGGAAUUAUGCUAGUGAGACUGUCCAUAAAAUCAGCCACUUAUACUGUCAUUUUGGAGACUGGAACUUCUGAAAUCAAAGUAAAUAACCUGCAUUUGUUGAAUAACAGCUAAAUCGAACAUCCAUAGUCCCAGUCGAGAUGCCGCCACUCCUCCCAUCAGCAUGUAGGCAGCUGCUAAGCCAUUUUGAACCCAUAUCGAGCCGACACAUACAAGCAGGAAGAUCCACUGCUAUAGAUUUUAAGAAUCCAUGUCAUGCUUUAAAAAAUCUACGGACUAAAAAUCCCUACAAAGUAAGAACACGUCACUGUACUUGGGACCAACAAGACCAGAGCCCUGUUCUUAGUGUAGAAAUGCGGGAUUGUAAGACUGGAUAAACCAGAGUGGCUGCAAUGCCAAUUGUUGCACUUAUGCCGCGUGCUAUUCCGAUGACAAAUGCCGGUACACCUUCCCACUCCAAUGUAGCGGUCAUCAAACUUCCGAAGCUGUAGAAUUUGAAACCAAAACAAUUAGAUUCUUCUACUUGAAAAAGCAAUCGAAUUAGAGCAACAAAGACCUGGACUUUCACACUGCCUUGAUGAUGGAGAAGCAGUGAGAAAUGCCUUCUAGUAGAUAGCACGAGAAAAAGGCAAUAACAUUGAGAUAGCCUCAAAUUUGAUGCGAGCACAAAUUUAUCAUACACAUUUUCCACAAAAGACGAGUUUUCUAGACAAAAUGGUAUAACUGGGGUGAAGUUAUCCGCUCUACUUUUAACUCAGCCAAAGAAAAAUGAACAUUGGUUGGCAGAUCGGUCUUUCUACGGGAAGGGGAAAUGUAAGUUCCAUCACUAGUCCUAGAUAUAUAAUUGCAGAGUGAAUUUCUAACACAUCACCUGAGGACUGUAAAAUACAACAAAGCUAGGGAUACUCCAGGAAUCACAACUUCUUGCUCUAGGUACACUUUCCAAGCGCAAACGAAGGGAAUUUUUGAAAUUUUCUCCCUGAAAUUCUGCUUAUGGCUGCUCUCUGCUGAUUCUGGAUCACCAUUUUGAAUUAGUGAGCUCUCUAACAGAUCAACCGGAGAAGGCCUCAAGGUUCUUCUCAGGUUUCUCUCAACAAGAGCCGGAAUACCCUUAUAUACGGACAUGAAAAACCAGUACUCCAGCCAAACACAUGUUGCGUUCAAUAUGGCUAAAGUCAUAGCAGAUACUUUUAGUGAAAUAAAGCUGAUUAUGAAGCCGGAAACAACUGGAGCAAAUAAUUUGCAGAUCAGAUCGAUCCUUCUGAUGACCGAGUUCAUCUGGGUCAGAAGUCCUGGAGGUUGGCCUUCUGACAUCACCACCACCCUGCAUUCAGAGGAAUAAUUAUUAGGCAAAACAAAUUAAAACAAAAGUUUGUAGCAAAACUAUACCGAAAACUGUUCUCUACUCAAUUCGCCAAAAGUCUAAGGCAUUCUACGUGGAAGAGACUCUAAAUAUAGUUCUAAACUUUGCAUUACCAUUCUCUUUCAAUCAAAAUUGUUCCAGCCAAAGUAGAAAGCAUGCCCAUAGCGCCCGAAAGAUUGGUCACGACGAUGAGCACGAUGAACAACCCAGGAUUUGUUGAUUUCAGAUCUGAAUAGGCCAGCAUACCAAAGACUGUGGCUCCGGCCACCACAAAUGAGAAGUUUUGUGUCAUGAGCCAGAGCUGUAAAACCUGCAACAAGUAUGGGAUUUUACAAAAACAAUUCGAACUCAUCCUAGUAUUCUGAGCAAUUAUUUUCUCUCUGAAAAAUGCUUGUUUAGUUCCAAAUCUUUGGUUGCGGCAUUUGGACCUAAAAUGCCAUCCAAUUUCUUUUGUUAUGGUCGUGAAUUGAGAACUUUGAGAAUUGAAGUUUAUCGGACCUUGACAUAACUCAACUUAUCUACCCACUCUCCAAUGGUUGAACCAAGCAAGAAUAUGGAGCCAGAUUCUACCACUCCAUAGACAGCGGCCAAUAGCAAAGAGUCUGGCCAAAUACUGAUCAUGUACAAACCUACCGAAAAUUCCCACAUCCUGCAAGACAAGAAGACAUCAUAUCAUAUGGACAGGUGACACAUCCAGUUGCCUCCUUUCCGUUUCAUUCAAGUCAGAUCUAAAUGAACCGUGGCCUUACCAAGGUUUGAUUUUUCUAAAGAAUUGCACAUACCAAAAUUUCCGGAACUACUGAAUAGGUUGGGUCAAGGUUUUAUUUCACCAAGAACUGUGUAAAGGAUAUGUACGCAUGCCUAAACAAAAGAAGACAAGGGCUGUUUGAUUGCUUACUCUUUUACAUGAUCCUGCUAUAUGCAUCUGGCAUACUGCUGAAAGGCAAAAGCUUUUCCUUUUGCUUUUUAUUUUUUCCAUUUUCUUUUUUACCUGAUAAAUUGAGGCUAGUAAAUCCAUCCCGUACAGCAGUUACUAGAACAACUGCCUUUUUUUGCUGUAUAGAACUAGUAAACAUCAGUUUGCGACUCAUUUCCAAUUGUUGGCCAUGGAAGGGAAAGAAAUUACUUUUUGGCUGAGAUAAUUGAAUUAUGCAGUUGAAACUCUCUUCUCAAUUCAAAAACUAUGAUGUUGAAGUGAUAAUAGCAAAUCAGCCUUUCUAAGCAAUGAGAAAAAAAAAUGGAAGAAUAAAAAGGAAAAGCUUCCCAAAUUUAAAAACAUCUCAAAAUUAAAUUGUAUGAAGAGUACUAUGCUGAACUGUGCUCCAUGAAGAACAUGUUCUCUUUCGCAUUAUUAGCAAGUGUUCUUUAUGAUGGGUGAAUCCGAACCAUUGCCAAAGUUGAAGCAAAACGAAAAGUGUAACCUGGCACCCCAUCUGGCCAAGAAGUGGCCCGAGUACAAAUAUUUGGUGAGGAACGACGGAAAAGAUGGCUGUUGAGCACCCGAUUUGCGAUCAAGGAGUGGCUCCCUCAUCAUUUUAUGUCGCUGCACUGACUUCUUAAAUCAUACUAAGUCGUUCCUCUUCUUCUUCUUCCAGUGAAUUGUGGAUGGGAUGAACGAUUGGGAUGCAGAUCUCUACUUUAUAUUGUGACCGCUCACUGCAUCCAAAAUGAUGAUAGACUUUAAGUUGUACUAUAUGGUUGUGAUGAGUGCCCUGUUUUUUGGUGUGAUUGAUGAAAGUGAUGCAAAUGGUAUCAAGAAAGUUGGUCCUUAUAUCGCAUACUUGGUUUCACCCAAAAAAAAAAAAAAAAAAAAACAAGAUUAAAUCCGGAAAACUGAGAAGAAAAUGGAUAAAGAAAUCAAAACUAGGGAAAAUCUCAAAUAAUGACCCAAAAUGAGCCUAUUUUCUCAAAUAAGGACCCGAAGUCUCAAUUGUUUCAAAUAAUGACCCGAAGUUGCUAACAAGUCUCAAAUAAGGACUUGAACCCAUCGGCCGGCCAAAAUGUUCACCGGUUGGUGCACGUGUGACAUUUUUGAUGGCUGGAACAUGGCAAUUUUGUCCCAAAAAAUUAUAGAUAGAAAUUAACAAACCUUAAAAACAAAACCCCCAAACUCUUCAGGUUCUUCUUCUUCUGCUCUUCAUCUUUUACGUUCUUUGUCCCCUCUCGUUUGGAGAACCCAAAUUUUCUAUUGAUAGAGCAAGAUCCUUGUCUCCCUAAGUUCCAAAGGUACGUGCCCUCCCUCCCUCCUUGUCACGCCUUGAACCCCAAGCGCAUGCCCAUCCCUCUCUGAUCGAUAAAAUUUUGCGACUUCCCAGGACUAGUCGCCGACCCUUCUCAUUUUUAAGCAUAUGCGGAAGCAAAUAAUAAAUCCCCUGACAGUAACCAUCUCGGGAUAGAAAAGCGGGACAACAAAUUCACAAACAAACAUGUCUUUAUAUUCACAUAGAGUCAUAUACAAAGUCUAUGACCAAAAGACUACAAAAACUGGCUUUCCAAAAAGAAGCGGUCCUAACCAACUUACAUUUCAGAUCACCUCCUCUCAGGUCCAGAUCUUCCACUCGACGAUCCUGAAAAUUUAAGCCCACGACGGGGUGAGAUAUAAAUCUCAGCGAGUUCGUACGCUAAACCCCGAUUAGGAGGAAAAUACGACCAGAAGCCUCCUAACCACAAAAUCACACAAUCAAGAGAUGGAGACUUACCUCGCCUCAGUUCCAUCCUGCACGUCGGCACAGUUCAUAUCUCAAAUGCAUAUAACCAUUUAAACAUCUCAUCAACUCAAUCACCCAAGCGUUUCAAUUGUUAAUAUUUGCCCCUUAAGGGUACCACUUAAUCUCAAGUUCAGUGUCUACUGGCACAACCAGGUAUCGCCUCAUCGCCAUUGAGCACAACCACGUCUAUAUCUUAAUAGACGGCUUCCCCGAAGAGGUGUAGGUCCAGAAUCUACUGCGACCCGAAUCACCUACUCUUUAGUUCGGUGUCCUUAAUAGACGGUUAUUUUUCUAUAUAUUGUUAUACUCAAUUUAUUUGCUAUCUUAUGAUAUCCUUUGAUUUAAAUUAAUAUCUUUAUAAGUAUGUUUACAAAUCUGCAUAUUCAAAGAUUGUUUUGUCAUCAUCAAAAAGGGGGAGAUUGUUAGGGAAAUCCCUUAUGAUGUUUUGAAGAUGACAAAAUAAAUCAAAGGCUACUAACAUGUUUAAUGGUUAAGUAAUAGACCAUACAGAUGAUAUAACAUGUAAAUGAUAUUGUCAAAGUGUGAAGACGACCAGAAGACUGAACGUAACACAUGUCCAAAGUAUAUUAUGAAGAUUUCCAGACUUCUAUGUCAAAGUCUGAAGACUGCCUGACUUUAGUGUCAAAGUCUGUCCUACAUUAGAAGUCUGCUCAUUCUGACAUAUUCCAGACUGAAUGUGAAUGAUGAACCAAAAGACAGACUCUAUGCUGAAGCUGAACCAGAAGACAAACUCUAUGUUGGAGCUGAACUUAUUCAGACGGUGUUAAGACCUUAAAGCUAAAUCUGUUCAGAAGCAGAAUAUGUUCAGACUCAGAUUGCAAAGUCUAUCGCACUCAGACUCAGAUUGUAAAGUCUAUUGCUAUCAGACUUUAUAUCCAGACUCGACAGAACGUAACUCAAGCCCAAUCAUAUAACGGCUAGUGAUUUGGUUUGGAUUCCACAUCAAGAUUGAUUUGAUUGAUUCAAUCUAUUUGAUUGACGAUUGGAUCUUGAAGACAAGAACUUUCUAUACGAAGAAAGUUUACUUAUGGAAAUCAAGAUUUCGUUUGUAUGGGCGAUUGGAAUCAAUUUGGGAUUCUCAACGGCUACCAAAUCUUCUAGAUACAGAGCUGUUCAAUGGGUAUAUUGAAAGACGAUUCUCCGGGAUACUGUCCAACGGGUAGUUUGGAAGUGGAUGAGUAUUUGAGGAGAUCAUGGACCGAUGAGCAAGUAAGAGACAGAGCGUAGAAUUUAUAAUUCCAAAGUCUAAGCGACCUUCGAUCAUAUACUUGUCUCUUGAGAGCUUAAACGUUUGUAAUCGUGAGAGAAAUACCAAAAGAGUGACUUAGCGAGAUAGUGUGAUCUACUAAGUGUUUGCACUCGAAGUUGUAAUCUCUUGUUGAUUGCAUAGUGGAAUCCAGCCAAGAAGGCUGUUAGCGUGGGAGAGUGGACGUAGGCUUGGAUUAAGCCGAACCACUAUAAACCUUGUGUUCUUAUUCUCUUCCUUAACUCCUUUGUUUUACUCGAAAUUUAUUUUCUUCCGCAUAUAUUUGCCAAGGUUUAGUUUAAACACCUAUUCACCCCCCCUCUAGGUGUUCAUACUAGCACUCUCAAGGUGAGAUAUAAAUCUCAGUGAGUUUGCACGCUAAACCCCGAUUAGGAGGAAAAUACGCCCAGAAGCCUCCUAACCACAAAAUCACACAAUCAAGAGAUGGAGACUUACCUCGCCUCAGUUCUGUCCUGCACGUCAGCAUAGUUCAUAUCUCAAAUGCAUAUAACCAUUGAAACAUCUCAUCAACUCAAUCACCCAAGCAUUUCAAUUGUUAAUAUUUGCCCCGUAAGGGUACCACUUAAUCUCAAGUUCAGUGUCUACUGGCACAACCAGGUAUUGCCUCAUCACCAUUGAGCACGACCACGUCUAUAUCUUAAUAGAUGGCUUCCUCGAAGGGGCGUAGGUCCAGAAUCUAAUGCAACCCGAGUCACCUACUCUUUAGUUCGGUGUCCUUUUGGCGUAGCCAGGCAUCGUCUCACCACCGUUGAGCACGGCGACGUCCAUAUCUUAAUAGAUAGCUUCCCCAAAGGGGCAUAGGUUCAGAAUCUACUGCGACCCGCGAUUCAAAGAAGGGAUAUCCCAAAUAAAGCAAUGUCUGGCUUAAAAGCUCGAAACUAGUUCUUUUAACCAACACACGAUCACUUAAUUGCAAAAAUUAACCACACUAUUGCAAUCAGCACGAAAUUCCGGUCACCGGUUAUUCCGGUCUAAUUUCCGGAAAAAUAAUUAAUUAAUUUAUAAAUUAAUUAAAUAAUUCAAUUUAAUUUUUAAAAAUACCAACCCAGGCCAAAAUCACUAAAUUAAAUACCGAUACAGACUCGGAAAUUUUUUUGAACCCUGCUAGAUAAAUAGCACAUCCUAUCUAAGCCUUGAUUAAUUUAAUCUAACCACCUAACAUGCACAAUUAACUAAUUAAAUCACUAAUUUAAUCUAACUAACCACAUAAUUCCUAAUUAAAUAAAUCUAAACACCCCUUAAACGUUAUUAGCCUACUAAGAAGAGUUUAGAGUAUAAAUUCACUGGUUAAUUGUGGAAACUGGUUCAUCUUGACGAUGGCGCGAUGGCAGCUGAAAUCCGAAUUUUCGGCAGCGUAGGCGAACACUCGGGCUGGGCCUAAAACGGGCCCAACAAAUCUCAGCCCAAAUAUGAGAUUUGCUUUUGAAUUGGACCAGGCCCGAAGCGGGCUGACUUCGCAGGCUUGGCUGCUGAAUUGGGCUUGCAGAAAACAUGCGGGCUUCAGUGGACUUGCUGAAAUUGGGCCUCAAAAACUGGACUUACGAAGUGGGCUGCUGGACUCUUGAAGACUUCGCUGGGCUUGAUGGACGCUGAAGACGUUGGGCCGAGACGCACGAGCAACUGGGCUGGAUGCGGCUGAUCCACGAGAGAAGGAAAACGUGAGCUGCUGUCUUCGCUGAUCUUCGAGGGACGUUGAAGAGUUGCUGCUGGCGUGACUAAAGACGUUGGAUGAAGACACGAGCAGGCUGGCGGAGGCAGUUGGCACACGCAGGAGACUGCUGGGUCAACAAACCGCCGAGGGAAUGGCGUGGUUGACUGGAACAAGCUGCUUCGCUGGAAUAAAAAUCGUGGGCCGGCCGAAUGAAAUGAAGACUCGGCAGCAUGCAGGCGUGAAGGCCGAAGGGAAUGGCAGCUCGGUGGACGCUUCGUUCGUGGCUUCUGUGGCUGAGAGGGAGAGGGUGAGUGGAGAAUUUGGUGUGCGUGAGUGCUGGCGUGAGAGAAAUGAAAUGAAAAAAAUGAGGGGCGGCUGUCUUUGAGGAAAAAAUGAAGUAAAAGCAAAAGCAAAAACAUAAGCAGAACCCAGCAGGAGUCUCGCUCGAGCGAAGAGGUGGUGGAGGAAAAGAAGACGUGCGCAUGAAGAGAGGGGCCAAAGUCAAUGAGUUAUCUCCAAAAAUUCAAUGCUCGGUCCCUUUUAAGCUUGCAUAAAUAUCCCAAUGUUUCCCCCUAUUACUUUAUUAUUUAAAAUCCACCAUUAAUCCCAUUUUGAAGCCCUGUUGCCCCAAAAUCAAACUCCGAAUUUCCUUAAAUCUUCGCUCCAAUUUCUUCAUGAAAUUUCCCAAAUCAAGGUCCAAUUUCGGUGAAGAAAAAUCUCACACAAUUUUUUCUUUCUCCAUUUUACCUGUCAGAGAGCUAAAUUGUUUCCUUUCCUUCUCCAGAAGGAAAGGAAACAAUUUGGACUUCUUUGAGACUGCCAUGCCCAGAUAGAUAAGCCUGGUGACACCCCUUUGUUGCAAGGAAAGAAGCCCAGCUUGAGAGGGCAGAACUUCUGGGGAAUACUGGAGAAGAAGUUGCUAUAUCAAUUCGCUGAUUGUGGAUACUGAUGAAGCAAGAGUUGCUCAUUUCUAAGACUUGGGCAUUAGAUAAUGUUGAUCAAAAAAUAAAAGAAUAGAUAGAACGAGAAACAAUGGAUUUAUGUGGUUCAAUUGGAGUGACCUACAACAUGGAGAGAGCAUAGAGUAAUACAAGAUUUUGCUAUAGAUCAAAUGGUAUAAUAGAAAUUAAAACCACACUCGACUUGAGUUAUUCUUUCUUUCAAUGACUCAUGCUCAUCUCUUGAAUGCAAUCUAAGAAGAAGCCCAUUCUUACAAUUGAGAAAACACCUAUUAUUAUUAAGGGACUAGGACACUAAACUAGAAAACAUGGGAAAUAUUAAACUAAGAAACAUAAAAUUAGGAAAUUUUAAGCUAGGAAACUUGGAAUUAGAAAACAUUUAGGAAACCAACUUUAAUAGGAAACCUUUGACUCACAAAGGAAACCAAAUUGUAAACUGGGAAACGUAAAAUUAGAAAAUCUUUGAAAAAAGAAUGUGUUUAUUCUUCAACCCUCUUGAAAAUCCUUCUGGAAUACUUUUUCCUUAUUAGACCUUUGUGCUCCCACAUAAUGACCUUUGUGCUCCCACAUAAUCUAUCUGGAAGAAACUUGGGAUGCAAAAUAGAAAAUCUCAACCAAAAGUCAAAUUUUAUUAGGUUUUUUUAUGGAUUAAAUUCGAGAUAUAUUUUCAACAGAUGAUAACCGAAAAUUAAAAAAGAAGAAGAAGAAGAAGAAGAAAAGGAGCUAUCAGAUGAUGAAAUUAUGACAUUCAUCUCCUAGUUUCUCCUGCACAAAUUCAUCGGUAGCAAGAAACCAUUUGGACGAGACCCUGUUCAAUUACGGCAGAUCAUUUUCAUAUCCAAAAAAAUGUAGCACGAAGAACGUGGAGACGUCUGGAGACGACACUACGUCCGGCAUAAUGAUCAUCUCGAUCACGAAAAGAAAAGGAAAUGCUACAAAGUCAGACAGUCAUUUAUCAGAACCUGUAAUAAACAGUCACAUCCAUAUCAUUGUAGCUCGAUCAUGAUGCAGCCGAUCGACCUUCCUCAGGAUUCAACUGCCUUAUCGUCUCAAUCAAUUGGAGCUGAUUGGCGCCCGGAUUGUUGUCGUGGAGGAAUCUCUUCCUCGGGGCCGAACUUCGCGGGUCUAACAUUCAAGAUGAGCGGUAACUAGCAUCUGAUAAAGCCGCCAUCAUAAAAAAAGACUGCAGAUGGAUAUCAAAUAGGAGCAAGUAAAACUUACGUAACAUGAUAAAGACAUCCAGGAACAGUCUGCACAUAAUAUUCAUCGAGUGUUCCGGCAUCCUCUGCAUUAAUGUAUGCACGAUGACCUUUCCAGGAUAUCGUUUCUUACCAUGCUGUCUGUUGACACCUAAAUUUUGACGAUUUAGUUUAUUUAUUUAUUACAUAGGAAAUUAGGGGUUAAUUUUAUUAAUUGCAUAGCAUAUAAAUUUAUAUUUGCAUUUAUUUUGUUAUUGGCAUUUUAUUUAUUGGACCAGUGCGAACUGGUUCAAAUUAGUUGGACUAAGCCCACAAAGCGAGCUGGUUGGCCCAAGCCCAUGUUUUUUAAUUAUCUCGUGAAAAAUAAAAAAAAUUUGAAAUUUUUCCGGGAUAUGAAUAUUUUGGAUAAGAGCACAUGUGUGAAAAAAAUAUUGCGAUUUAUCUUUACGAGAUUUGGAUUUUGAGAAAAUAUUCAUCGUAAUCUUAAAUUUUUAUCAAUAGUGAUCGGUUGGUGAAAAUGUAUUGCGGAUGUAGAUUUGAAGGGGAAAUCGAAAGCUUAUCUCUUACCCCCUAUAAAAGCAACCGUGUACGAGGACCCUACGGUGGCUUCUCUUGGUAAAAAAAAAAUCAAGUAAAAAGAGAGAGAAAGGUUUUCUUCCUCGUCCAUCUUCAGCAAAAAGAGGGCUUUUUCUCUUUUCUUUUUUCCUAACAAACUGCAGGGAAAAGGAAAAGUCAGAGAGAGCAUUGUCGUGAGAGAGAGAGAGUGACAGGUGAAAUCAGAGAAAAGACCUACUGUUUAUCUUCUCCAGAAGUUCUGUGCAUCCGACUCCUGUACCGUCGGUUCCUGCGCCGACGGUCUCCGAGCAGCAACGCCGCCGCCUCGCCCCACCGACGCCGCACCAGAUCCGCCUCGCUCCGAAGCCCACCGCACCUCCGCACGAGCACCACCGUGAUCUACGAACCCGACGCCAGCAGUCCGACAACCGGGUCUCAGAUUGCCCGGCACUCGCCGCGCCUCAGCCAGCGCGACUCCGUCCCUGCAGCAACUGACGCCGCUGCGUCUCUGCACCCGCGAGUUCACCGCCGACGCCGGCGACAUCGCCAGCCAUUGUCUCCUGCAGCUCUGCCCGAAUGACGACACCGGAGCCCCGUUGUUCCCGAUCCACGCAACCCAACGCCACCGAACCGCACCCGUUCAGAGCCUGACUUGCUGCUGACCCAUGACGCCAAGAUCAGGUCCGAGCUCUCACACGCCCGAGUGAUGACCAACCGCACUCGCAUCACCGUCCCAGGGCCUGCUCCUCUGCCCAGCUCCAGCUGUGACGCCUCUACCCGCCAGUCUGCUUGCCGCCGAUUCCCCUCGCCAGCCCGGAGCUCCGAUUGUGACGCCCUCCGACGAUCAGAACCCGCUGCCCAGAGAUAAGCCGCACGAGCAAGCUGUGGGUGAAGAAAGCAAGAAAAAAAAAGGAUUAGGUAGUCCUUUUAUUUAUUUAUUUAUCUUAUUUAUUUUCUCCUAUAUCUUGUUUUUAGUGGGAUUGUUCCUUAAAUAUGUGACUGAUAUUCCAAACAUGAAAGUCCCCCUCAAGCAAGGGAUUGAUAGUCCGAUUUUCGCGCCCGAAAUCCGACUCGCAAUCUCUUAUAAAAAUCGACAAUCCAAUCUCAAGCCCGAGAUUUGAUUCGCGAUUUAAAAUUAAAAUUGGUCAACCUGAUCUCAUGCGCGAGAUACGGUUCGCCAAUUUUUGGAUAUCAAUAUUGUCUUGUUUGAUUUGAUAUCGUGUGUUUGGAUCAAUUUUAUUUUCAUAAGAGAAAAAAUCAAAAAAAAAAAAUUCAAAUUAGGAUUAAGUAUGUUUUAGAAUAUUCUUAGUCUUAGGGUUAAAAUCGCAAUUUGAUUUCGAAUUUUUUUUUUAAAUAAGAAAAUCAAAAAGAAAAAUCCGAAUAAGGACUAGGUUUGUUUUUGUUAUCUUGCAUAUUAGGAUUGCAAUCUUAUUAUGAAUUUUUUAAUAAAAAAUCCAAAAAAAGUGCAUUCAUUUAGGUUGUUAGUUUUUUUAUUUGAAUUGCAUGUUAAUUAGGUAUUAAUUUUAAUUUCGAGAUUAAAGAAAACCAUAAAAAAAUCAUUGUGCAUAUUAGAUUAGAAUUGCAUGCUUCAUUUUAAAUUUAGAUCAUCUUUUUUAGAUAAAUGGCAUUUUAGAUUUAGAUAAUGUUUUAGUUUAAAUUAGGAUUUAAUAUGACUUAAUCCCUAGUUUAAAUUAGAUAGAAUCUUAAUCUAGCUAGAUCAUUUGAAAUUUCAUAAAAUUUGUCUUAGGAUAAAUUAGUUGCAAUUUCUAGGAUAGAUUGCAUUUUUUUUAAUAAAAAAUGUCAUAUGCAUAUGUCAUGUAGAAUUAACGCAUUCUUUGCACGUCAUUGCAUGCUAAGAUUGCAUAUUAUAGGUUUAGAUAAUUUCUCCUAAAUAGAUUGCAUGCUUAUUAGGAAAAUAAAAAUCAUGUGCACGUCAUAUAGAAUUAGUUUCAUACAAUGCAUGUCAUUUAGUGAUUUUUGUUAGAUGCAUUUAAUUAGAAAUUGCCCGUCAUUAGAAUUAGGUCAUUAGAUUAAUUUAGAUUACAUAUUUAGAUGUUGCAUUUCUUUAAUUUCGAAUCUCAUAGAAAAUACAAAAAAAAUUAUUUAGAAUAAAUCAUCUCAUGCUUAGGAUAGAUUACAUGCUUAGUUAUGUCAUAUUGCUUAGGUCAUAUAGCUAAGUCAUGUUGCCAUGUCAUAUCAUUUCAUGUUAAAUCAGUGGCAUGCAUUGCAUAUUGCAUGAUUUUCAUUAAUUAAGUGAAAACAAAACAAAAAAAUUGUGUGUUAAUUAGAAAUCAUAUUUAUGACUGCUGAUGUGAAUUCUAAAUUAACAUUGCAGAUGCUUUCGUUGCUUUGAGGUAAGUUCUGCAUCAUUUAUUCAUUUGCUUUCUUGAGUGUUAAAUUGAUGGUUUGCACACCUGCAUGGUCACCUCACAUGCUAGAAUUUAAAAUUAAUUCAAGUUGCCUGCAAAAACAUUUUUGAAAUUAAAAGAAUGGUACCGAAAGGGCGUUAGAGAAAUCUAACGUAACCAAGUCCCCGUACCCAUAAUCUCUGGUUCGUAGGAGUAAAGUAAAUCUCCCAUUAUUUUACUUGGGUUUCUAAUCGACCCAUCAAAAAAUAUAUUAGUGGCGACUCCUAAUUAAAUUUGCAUGUUAACAAUUCAAACCUAAGUCGCGAAUUGGUAUGGGCUUGGGAGAGCCCGAGUUAAGUUUAGGCUUAACAAUCCAUUAGCCAAACCCUAGGUGGUUCAAACCCGAAAAAAUUGGUCGCGACAACUUGGCGACUCUGCUGGGGACAUGAGUUAAAACUCUUAGUGGACUUAGGCCAAUUUUUCUUUUUUUUUGAAAAAUGUUUUUUUUGGCAGCGAGGAUUCCAGGUACGUCCCUAACAUUUAAGGUGUUAAAUGUUUUUGCAGGAUGUGAGGUAUAAGGGGAAGUGUUUGCUAACCUUUGUUUUGUAGGGAGGUGUAGGAAUGUAUGGUUUAUUUUCAUGAACGAUGUGUUGCUUGAUAUAAACUAUCGUGCAUGCCCUGCAUUAUCACUACACUUUGCACACACAACCUGCCGCCGGACCUGGGCCGCAUAGGAUCAUUUAGGAUGGUAUUGAGAUGGAUACCACUUCGACCGCAUGCUCGCGGUAUGAGUCGCCCAUCUCAAUCCCGAAGUUUCUUUCAUGGUGUCAAGAGUACCCACCUCGGUCUGCAUGCCCGCGACCCAGGUUGGCUCUUUGACCAAGCCAGAGUCAUGAGGACCCGACAUAGUCCACAAGCCCGUGGCUAGUCUGAUCAUUCUUGUGGCUCCACCUUGAUAAGCCUUAUAGAGUAGAAAUUGAGCCACUUACCAUGCGCAUGUCUAUGUGAUUGUCAAUCAUUGGUAAAGUAAGUUCUCUAAUUUUUGCCUUUGCAAUUUACUUACUUAGUCACAUUAUUUUGUCGGUCCAUGGCAUUAGGAUUGUCCCGAGCUUUGAUUAAUAUACAAUGGGGACACCGAACAUUCGGAUCAUUCUCUCUCCAAAGGAAGAGCUUAGCACUUGGUGGGACAAGUUAUAUCAGAAUAGCUGUCAAUUCGUAGAGUCACAUAUUGGUCGAUUGCUUCCACUGCUGCGUAUCGACAUCCAUGGCGGCCUUGUCCAAGCACUCGCCCAUUGUUAGUGCCCCGAGACUUCUACCUUCAUCUUCGGUGGUAAGCAUGAACUCACUCCCACCUUGGAAGAAUAUAGCAUCGCCAUAGGGAAGUCCUUAAAAGCUGAAUUGAUUAGUCUGCCUAUCGGAAUAGAUCAUGUUAUGGCCUUAUCUGAUUUUCUGAGAAUUAAAGAAGAUGACAUAAGAAAGGUUUUAAAGGCCCAUCGUAAUGCAUGUCCUUUAUCUUUUCUGAAAGAAUGUUUUGAAAAAGGCACCUCAUUUCAAAUGCGUAGGAUUUUCCUCUUAGCUUUCUUUGGGUUUAUAGUAUUUCCUUAUUGCAAGAAUGCUAUUAACCCUUUGAUUGCUCAAUUUGUUAGGCAAGUGUUGGAAGGAAAUUUUUUUGUAAACACUGUUUUAAUUGAAACUUUUCUUUCUCUCACUCAUUUCAAAAGAGGUGGCGAUAAGACUCUCCAUUCCUCUCCUGAACUUUUACAAAUCUGGUUCCUUUCUCAUAUAAAAGGAUUUGGUGGUUCCAUGACUAUACAUGAUGUUAGUAAUUCUAAUCACCCCAUUAUGAGAUUUGAGAACAAUCAAAAACAUGCACCGGAUUAUCAUUAUUCUAGGUGGCUAGCUUUCAUGAAAAAACCAACUCCCAAGGGUUUCCUAUGGCAUGCUAAAUGGUUCUAAGUUCGGGUAGCAAGACUCUCAUGUGGAAGAGUUGGCCCAAUCCCUCUAUUGGGAUUCACUGGAGCAUUGGAGUACUAUCCGACUAGAGUGACUCGUCAGUAUCAAGUCGUACAAGAGCUUCCCCCAGUGUUACAAGCGGAUCCGCUCCAAGUUAGCUUCGUUGAUGGAAGCCGAGGCCAUGAAGAUUCCAUUCUCACCAUCAAAUCGAUGUGGGACAUGUGCCGUCCACAAAAACUCAAAUGGCCAGAGGAGGAAUUGAAAGGCAGGGAAAUGAAGUACUAUGCCUCGAUUAAGUAUAUCAAACGGCACAAGAUUCCUGAAGAGCUGCUUCCAAAGAUACCGGAGGCACCGUUGAAGAUCACCAAUCGAGCUGAGAAUAAACGCCUCAAAAGAGUUGCUGAAAAAGCUCAAGAGGAGAAUAAACGAUUGCGCCGAAUGGUGUCCCGAGUGUAUAUUGAUCAAGCCAAAUGAAAUGCUUGAAUCAAUCUUGCUAUUUUUAGUUUUAGAUUAGGAAGUUUGAGUCAUUUACUUUCCUAGUUCAUUUGUUUAGGACGUUUUGAAUUUCUAUUUCGAUAGGUUUGUCAAAAGCUCCAUUGAUGAAUAAAGUUCUAGAAUAUUGCCAUGGAUCGACGUAUUUUCAUAUGAGAAUGCUUAUUUUUGUUCAUUUCUUAUAUUAGGUUAUAACGGAUCCAUCACAUUCGCCCAUCAUCACGCGAUUAAGAGCAAGAAUGGCCGAACAAACCGAAAUGCGUGAUCGUGUCUCCGCUGUGGAGACUCAACUCCAACAAGUACUUGCCUCUUUACAACUUGUGACGGAUCAACUCCAAUUCCUCCAAGCGAAUCCAAUAGCUGCACCUGCUCUUCCUGAAGUGGUUAUCCCAAAGCAAGCAAACAAGGUUCAAACGAUUGACGACGACAUGCCCGAGCUGGAAGAUGACCCAGUCAUUGUUGGAAAGGCCAAGCUUGAUGGCAUUCCCAAGACAGAUCAGGAUGAGGGUGGCGAAGCUGGAAGAGAAAAUGAGACAGCUACAAGAGUCACAAAGGUCCCUCCCGUUCGACCUCUCGGUCUAUGAGAAGGUCAAAAUGCCGAGCAAGUUCAAAAUGCCAGAGUUUGAGAAGUAUGAUGGCACAUCUUGCCCAAAAUCUCAUCUGCAGAUGUACCACGUGCGCAUGGCCCAGCACGUCAAAAACGAGCCCCUCAUGAUCCAAUCAUUCCAUGCGAGUUUGACUGGACCCGCAUUAAACUGGUACGUGAUGAAAAAUGUGAACCUGCUCGACACUUGGAACGAAGUAGCUGACUCAUUCCUCAAACAAUACAAGUUCAACAUGGACAUCGCACCUUCCCGAGAAGACCUGGAGCGGAUGGAAAAGAAAAGGAGCGAGUCAUUUAAAGAAUAUGCUGUGAGAUGGAGGAACCUGGCGGCUCAAAUUACUCCUGAGCCUACCAACAAGGAGCUGAUGAAGUUAUUCGUGAAAACCCUUCCGUCCGAGUUUCAUAACAGAAUGGCCAGUACAUACGUCGAAAGCUUCAAUCAGCUUAUUCCUGUAGGAGAGCAAAUUGAGAUGGGGAUAAGAGAAGGAUGGUUUACCGAGUCAUCUAGUAAAAGAUUCACUGCCAAGAAGGAGAAGGAAAUGGCCGUGGAUGUGAAUGUGGCUUAUAGCCAAGAAAAUGUCAAACGUGCCCCGGCCAUCCAAAUGAAUCCAAGACAACCGCAAACCACUAGCCGCCAAUCAUUUGCCCAAGCAAAUAAUAGAAGGCAAUUUUCUCCUCUCCCUGGGUCUCCAUCCCAAGUGCUGACGAUCCUCCGAAAGAAAGGUUUGCUUACUAAUGAACCAAAGCGUCCCAAUCGUGAAAGCAUUCGCGGUUAUGACCCAGCAAAGAAGUGUGACUACCAUAACGGUGAAUUGGGGCAUUCAACUGAUGAAUGUUUCACCCUCAAGCACAAGAUCCAAAAUCUCUUGGACACAAAGGCUUUCUCAUUUCAAACUGCUCGGCCAAAUGUCCAGAAGAAUCCGCUACCGGAGCAUGAGGAUACAGUGAAUGCUAUCCUAGAACCUGAAGUUAGACGGAUCAAGAACUCGAAGGUGAAUGUGGCAGAUGCCUACAAUGGACUGGUGAGAGCUGGUUAUUAUCCAGAUCAAGAGGAUGUUCCUUUAUCGUUGAUGAAGGAAAGAAUUGCCAAAAUGGUGGAUGACGGCAUCAUCGUGUAUGCUGACCGUAACUGCGUGGUUUCCACCAUUUCCCACAUCAUCAUUGAUUGGGAGGAGGAGCAGGUUGCUCUCGAUAAUGGUAAGGAAGAAGUAGAUCCGUCACUUGCAGAUAUGCCCCCGCUAGAAGAUGCAACUGAUGAUGAGGUUGUGAUUGAAAUACCUCAGCCGUAUGAGUAUGUCAAUAAUAAAGCGGUGCCUUGGUCUUAUGACCUAGAUGUUGACCUCGUUACAAGGUCCGGUCGAACUUAUGCUCAAAAUAAUGCUCAACCUGCAAAGCUCGUCACUGACGAAGAGGCUAAGGAAUUUCUGGCUGUGAUUAAAGCAAGUGAGUAUAAUAUCGUCGAUCAAUUGUGAAAGAUGCCUGCCCAGAUCUCUUUGCUCGAGCUCAUCCAAACCUCCCCUGUGCACCAAAAGUCGCUGAUGAAGGUGCUAAGCGAAAUUCGUGUACCCGAAACAGUUGAAGCAGAUAAGUUGGAGGAUUUUGUGGGAUCAGUCCUUCUCAAGGACAUGAUUGCUUUUUCUGAUGAGGAAUUCCCUCUUGAGGGUAAGGGGCAUAAUAAAGCACUCUACAUAUCUGUCAAGCACAAGGUUUCUCAUGUGUCCCGAGUGCUCAUUGAUAAUGGGUCCGCCUUAAACAUAUGUCCAUUGGCCACUCUUCACCGCCUCAAGGUAGACCUGUCCAAGGUACAUGCUGCAAAGACUUUUGUGAGAGCUUUUGAUGGAACGAAAAAAGGAGGUAAUCGGGGAAAUCCAUCUUGACGUGCAAAUAGGGCCGGUCGUCUUCAACAUUCCCUUCCAAGUGCUGGAUAUCCCUACCGCAUUCAAUUUUUUGCUAGGUCGUCCAUGGAUACACACUGCUGGAGCAGUCCCUUCAACUCUACAUCAAGCUGUGAAAUUUGUGAUCGAAAGGUAGCUGGUCACUGUGUAUGGUGAGCAAGACCACCAGAUUUAUCAUGAGACGGCUAUCCCCUAUGUAGAGCCGGAUUCUGAGCUCGAAUCAAGUUACCACUCAUUUGAGUUAGUGUCUACCAUACACGCUUUUCGAGGUUCAUCGCUGCCCACUCCUGAGGUUUCAGAUGCUGCCCUCAUGGUAGGAAGAGUAAUGGUUGGGAAUGGUUUUGUCCCUGGCAAUGGUUUGGGAAGAAAUGGUCAGGGUAUUCGAAGCCCCAUUAAAGCCCCUUAGAGGUCCCGAUCUGCUGGGUUAGGGUACCAUGGAAGAGGUGGAGGAAGUUCUGGAAGGCAAAGAUAGGGAAGGCAUAACUCGCCACCUGAGCAAGGGCGAAGGAGGCAAAAUUUACCACCUCCAAACAUUCAUGAGACAUUCCCUGGUCCUCCAAUUAUGAUGCAACAUGAAGCUGAAGUAAUGGAUACUCUCGGACAGCCAAGUGGGAAGUUCGACUAUAUGGUGAAGUAUUCGGCUCCUCCCAGCUUUUACUUUGAUGCCCGCAAUAUAGUUCCAAGUGGAUGGGAUGGCAUGGAUGAUCCGGCGCCUUCAAAGACGGAAAACUCUGAUGACACCCUCGAAGGAAUUUCAAGUUUGUUCGAUGAUCUCUCCAUCGGAGCCAUUGAUGGAGAACCUCCGGAAGAAACGGGCCCUCGCCCACAAGAGUAACCCAUUUAUCACUUUUGCACAUUCCCCUGCGUGAGAAUUUUUAUUGCUUUCUAGGAAUUGUUUUUGAUUUCUUCUUUUUCACUUUCUUUUUAGGACUUGAAUUGCAUUUUCCAUUCAAUAAAUUGUAAUUGAUUGAUGAAUCUCAAUGAAAUUACAAGUUUUAUUUUGAGGGCAUGAUGAGGUACACCAAACCAGCCCGGUGAUGAUAUCCAGCCGAUAAAACAAAAGAAAAAUCCAAGGAGAACUCUGAGGCCUGGGCUUCAUCAUGCUUCCUCGUGUCAAAAUGUUUUAAAAAAAAAUACUUUUGCAAAAGAAUUUCAAAAAAGUUUUUACAAAAAAUAAAAUAAAAUAUGAUUAACCCUGUUUGUCUUUUUGAUCCUUCUAUUUCAUGUUUCAGGGACGAUCAUAUAACAUGCAAAGGUAUGGAAAUGGUCCAAUCCAAUGCAACAAGUGCUGAUAAUGAUCUUGGAGAGUCGAUCAAGGAUUCCAUUGAAGAUUCCACUGAGGUGCAACAAAGCUGGGAACAACAUGAAAAAGCCAAGACUCUCACAUCCGAGUAGACUGUCACUAUUAAUUUAAGUGACAUUGAAGAAGCCAAGGAGGUGAAAAUAGGGGCGAAUCUCCCCAAAGACGAGGCUGAGCGCCUAAUUCAGUUACUGAAGGAAUAUCAGGACAUCUUCGCAUGGAACUACGCCGACAUGCCUGGGUUAGACCAAUCAAUCGUGGAGCAUUGUUUGCCUACUAACCCGGACGUGCCUCCUAAGAAGCAAAGAUUGCGAAGAACUAAGCCUGAGCUCUCGAAGAAGAUAGAGGAAGAGGUGAUGAAGCUUCUAAAAGUCGGAUUUAUUGAAGUCUCGCAAUACCCUGAAUGGGUAGCAAACAUCGUGCCAGUGAUGAAGAAGGAUGGUCGAGUUCGAGUUUGUGUUGAUUAUCGGGAUUUGAAUAAGGCUAGCCCAAAAGAUGACUUCGCGCUACCUCACAUAGAUGUCCUUGUUGAUAGUACUGCCGGAUUUGAACUAUUCUCAUUUAUGGAUGGUUUUUCUGGAUACAAUUAGAUAAGGAUGAAGGAGGAAGACAAAGAGAAAACUGCAUUCAUCACUCCGUGGGGAACCUUUCAUUAUAAGGUCAUGCCCUUUGGACUCAAGAAUGCAGGGGCAACUUACCAGCGAGCUAUGGUAGCACUAUUUCAUGACAUGAUGCAUCAAGAGAUCGAGAUCUAUGUUGAUGAUAUAAUCACUAAAACUCGACCUGGGAAAAGCCACGUCGAAACCUUGAAGAAAUUGUUUGAUCGACUCCGUGAGUUCAAGCUUCGUCUAAACCCCACUAAAUGCGUGUUUGGAGCAACAUCUGGUAAAUUACUUGGGUUCAUUGUGAGUAGUAAAGGGAUUGAGAUCGACCCGGCUAAAGCUAAGGCCAUAUGUGAGUUGCAACCUCCAUCAAUAGUGAAAGAAGUCAGGAGUCUUUUGGGGAGGUUGAAUUACAUUGCUCGAUUCAUUUCCCAACUUUCUGAAACCGCCAAGCCAUUCUUCAAGCUCUUAAAGAAGAAUGCACGAGUCAACUGGGAUGAUGAGUGUCGAAAAGCAUUCGACAAGUUGAAACAGUACUUGAUGAAUCCACCAGUUCUUGUCCCGCCAUCACCAGGGUAUCCUUUGAUUCUUUACCUCACCAUUCAUGGUGAGUCAUUGGGUGCGAUGUUGGCUCAGGAAAGUCCCGUCGAUAAAAAAGAACGAGCCGUUUAUUACUUGAGUAAAAAAUUCACUGUGUCAGAGCUAAAAUAUUCUAAUGUGGAAAAGACUUGUGCUGCAUUAGUGUGGGUAUUGCAUAGAUUGAGACAGUACACACUGCAUUACCAGACAUUCCUCGUAACUGAGAACGAUCCUAUCAAGUAUUUACUGAACCGGCCAGCUUUGGUGGGUAAGUUGGCUAAAUGGCAAAUUUUGAUCUCGGAAUUUGAUGUGCAAUUCAUGCCACAAAAGUCGGUUAAGGGUCGAGUAAUUUCCGAUCUAUUGGCUGAGAAUCCAGAAGCCUCAAAUAAUGACGAUCGUUCUUUGGAUGACUGCAUCUUGAGUGUAAAUGAAGAUUCAUGGACAAUGUUCUUUGAUGGUGCUGUGAACUUGUCUGGUUCAGGUACUGGGGCAGUUUUGAUAUCCCCAGACGGACAGCAUCACCCAGUAGCUGCGAAAUUGAUAUUCCCAUGCACUAACAAUAUAGCCGAGUAUGAAGCUUGCAUCAUUGGGCUUCAAGCUGCAAUCGAGAUGGGUGUAGCCAAAUUAAAAGUGUUUGGGGAUUCCACGCUGAUCAUACUACAGACCAUAGGUGAAUGGAAGACUAAGGAUGCUAAGUUGCUCCCAUAUCAUGAGUACUUAGAAGAUUUGAUCAAGAAAUUCGAUGAAGUUUCAUUUGAAUACUUAUCGAGGUCUCACAAUCAAUUUGCAGAUGCACUCGCAACUUUAUCAUCUAUGUUGCAAGUCACUGACAGAUUAGAAAUUGAACCAUUAAAGAUAGAGAUUCUUCCAAGGCCGGCUUAUUGUAUGGUAGUGACAGAAGAGUCUGACGGAAAACCAUGGUAUUACGAUAUCAUGAACUAUAUCCAAAAACAAGGAUUCCCUGAGGGAAGUACUCCAGCUGAUAGGAAGUACAUCAUGAAGAUGGCCUCAAAGUUCUUUGUCAGUGGUGAGAAUUUGUGUAAGAGAUCUUAUGAUUCAAUCUUGUUGCGGUGUGUGGGUGCAGCUGAAGCCACUCAAAUCAUGCAAGAAAUUCACAAAGGAGUAUGUGGCCCUCAUAUGAAUGGACACAUGAUGGCUAAGAAGAUCAUGAGAUUAGGCUAUUAUUGGCUCACGCUAGAAGGUGACUGUAUACAGCAUGUUCGAAGUUGUCAUCGUUGCCAGGUCCAUGGUGAUAAGAUAAAUGUUCCUCCAACUGUGUUGUACCAGUUUUCCGAGCCAUGGCCUUUCUCAAUGUGGGGGAUUGAUGUGAUCGGCCCAAUAAACCCAAAGGCUUCCAAUGGGCAUAGAUUCAUUUUAGUGACCAUAGACUAUUUUUCAAAAUGGAUUGAAGCUACAUCCUUUGCAAGUGUCACUGCUCGCAAUGUUGUGAAGUUCAUCAAACGUGACAUAAUUGCUCGCUAUGGUGUCCCUGAAACGAUUAUCACUGACAACAAGACAAAUUUGAACAACAAGCUCAUUGAUGAGUUGUUUAGCGAGCUCAAGAUCAAGCAUCUGAAUUCAUCCCCUUAUCGCCCUCAAAUGAAUGGGGCUGUUGAAGCGGCCAAUAAGAAUAUUAAGAAGAUCUUGGCUAAGACAGUCGAGAAUUAUCGAGACUGGCAUGACAGAUUACCCUUCGCACUGAUGACGUAUCGGACAUCGAUUCGUACUUCUACCGGGGCAACUCCUUUUGCUCUGGUAUACGACAUUGAGGCAGUUUUGCCUGUGGAAGUGGAGAUUCCUUCCUUGAGAGUAUUAUCCCAAGUGGAAUUAUCUGAGGCAGAAUGGUCGCAACAAAGAUUUGAACAGUUGAACUUGAUCGAUGAGAAAAGACUGAAGGCUCUCUGCCAUGGCCAAGCAUAUCAACAGAGAGUAGCCAGAUCUUUCAACCGAGAGGUGCGGCCGAGACAUUUCGAGGUAAAUGAUCUUGUUUUAAGGAAGCUGUUGCCAAUUUUUCUAGAUCCUGGGGGGAAGUUUGCUCCAAACUACAGUGGCCCAUAUGUGGUAAAGAAGGUACUUCAUGGCGGUGCUUUGAUUUUGGCAGAAAUGGAUGGUCGUGUGUUUUCUACUCCAGUUAAUUCAGAUGUUGUCAAGAAGUAUUACCCAUGAUAGAAUUUGCCAUGUCAUGUUUUGAAUUGCAAACAUUUUAUGAUGAAUAAAUUGCCUCAUUGAGUUGCAAAUUCAAUUGUCUAAACUUGUUGCAAAUCUUGCAUUUUUCUUCCUUGAUGAAUUGUGUGAGAUGAAUUGAAUGUGUCAAAUGGGAUACUUUGGAAUGAUAAAAGGCAAACCCUAUUCCAUACACUGACCCCCAGUGAGUUGUGUGAAAAAUUCCAUGCCCACAAGGAAGAGGGUGAUCUCGCAAAGGGUACAUCAACCAAGAUGAUGAGAGGCAGUUUCUUCUACUACCUGAAACACUACAGGUAAAUCCAUUGUUCAACCCUUUGAACCCACACACAUGAAGAGCUUUUUAAAUUAUCCCUGUCAAGAAUCGUCUCAUACUGGGACAAGAUUUAAAAUGAAUGAUAUGAAUUUUCUUACUCACACUUGCAUCAAUCUUCGAGUAUUGCUUUUACAGUAUGACUUGUACGAUAAUUUAAAGUGCCUUAGGACGACGAAGAGUAGUUCUUUCUCUAUCCUAUACACUUUAUCCAUUGCAUAGCCCCAUUGAGCCAAAGAAUUCAUUUCACAUUAAACCCAGUUGGUGAUCAUCCCCCUCACUAGGGCAAGGCAAGAAAAAACCAAACCACUCAAGUAGCAUGAUUUACAAUGCUGAUAUAAAUGGAGACUUUGUCAAAAAAAAAAAAAAGUGCAAAAGUGGGGCAUGAAAAAGCAGUGUGCCUGGUAAAAGCGAGGCCAAUGCCCAAAGAAAAAAUCAAACACUUGAUGAAUGGGUCGUAUCCCCAACAAGGUGGUACCAAAAAAAAAAACUCAAAUGUUGAGAUGUUGCAAUCAAUGGAGUUGUGAAGUGAAGAAAAUCUUCGACGAUGGGGAGGAAAAUUGUUGGAAAUGUCAAGAUGAUCACCAACUUUGACCCCAUAAACACCUUUUGAGCCAAAUGAUUAUUUCAUUUCUCAAUCCAUAAACCCAACCUACGUUACGUCCCUUACAAAGUCUCUUCAGAUUAGGGCAUUUGAAUUAACGUAAAAGUUCAUACGUUUAGAAGCAUCGCUUGAAGAAGUGCGAGUAAGAUAAUUUCUGCUUCAUUUCUCAUGUUUCUUGGUUUGUAAACCCCAAGAUGAUUAUGAAAUAUCAUUCAUUUUUUAUUAGCCUCGACUCAAAGAGUCUCCUUUGCUAAGCCGUGGACCAAACCAGCGUUGCAGUCCUUCUUAAAGACCUCUCAGAUUGGUGAGAUCGUACCACUUGCGAAAUUGCUCAGACCCUUGUUUGGCAUGAUGAUGGUGAGAUAGAGUGAUUGAUAAAAUCCUGCAUCAAAGGUUAGGAUGAAAUUGCCAUGAGGAUGAGAGAAAAAGUCCUUUCAGACCAAAGGAUCCCUCAUUUGACACAUUCAUGACACUCAUGUGUUCAGAAUGGAAAUUAGGUGAUGCAAGAUUAAUGAAAAUUAUCAUGAACCUCCAUUAAAUUGAUGCAUGUUUAUGAUUACCAAUGCAUGUUGUCUCUCCUACGACCAUGUUUUGCAGGAGACAUAUCCCUGAAGAUCGGAGAUGUUACCAGGUAAGUAUAUCUCUAUCCAUACCUUGAAUAUUUGUCAUCACACAGGUAUUCCCUUUUAAACAUACCGACACUCGAUUGAGUUGUCCCCCAAAAAUUUCUCUCCAGAUUCAAUCUGAUUAAGGCGACCGAAGAAUGGUUCGGGUCCUGGUCAGUUGAUCUCUGUUCGCAAGGUUGGGCGACCGAAGAAUGGUUCGGGUCCUAGCCAAGCAAAACCUCGUUUAGGCGACCGUAGAAUGGUACGGGUCCUCGACAAUACCUAUUCCCUAUUUUAAGCGACCGUAGAAUGGUACGGGUCCUAGAAAGUGAAUCCCCGUUUAGGCGACCGUAGAAUGGUACGGGUCCUAGACAAAACCUAUUUCCCUAUUCAGGCGACCGUAGAAUGGUACGGGUCUUGGAAGGUAAAUCCCCAUUUAGGCGACCGUAGAAUGUUAUGGGUCCUAGACACAACCAAACAAUGUCAUACUGGGCAACCAUAGAAUGGUACGAGUCCUAGGAAGCAGUCUCUUUGCAAAACCAUGUUACUAUUCUGGGCGACCGUAGAAUGGUACGAGUCUUGGACAUGUAACACCAACUAUCUUGAAUCACUCUACCCUCCUUGAAGGUAAGUCAUUCCAGGUAAGUCUUUUAUCAUCUGCAUUAGUAUUUCCAUGCAUCAUAUAAAUUGCAUUAAAAAAUGGAAUUCAUUUUCCGACAAAAAAAAAAUCAUCCAUUGCAUACACAUAACCAAAAUUUAGGUUUCAAAUUAUCUUUGAAUGCAACCUCUUCGAGCUCACCUUCAAAGAGGGGCAGCUGUUGACACCUAAAUUUUGACGAUUUAGUUUAUUUAUUUAUUACAUAAGAAAUUAGGGGUUAAUUUUAUUAAUUGCAUAGUAUAUAGAUUUAUAUUUGCAUUUAUUUUGUUAUUGGCAUUUUACUUAUUGGACCAGUGCGAACGGGUUCAAAUUAGUUGGACUAAGCCCACAAAGCGAGCUGGUUGGCCCAAGCCCAUGUUUUUUAAUUAUCUCGUGAAAAAUAAAAAAAAUUUGAAAUUUUUCCGGGAUAUGAAUAUUUUGGAUAAGAGCACAUGUGUGAAAAAAUAUUGCGAUUUAUCUUUGCGAGAUUUGGAUUUCGAGAAAAUAUUCAUCGUAAUCUUAAUUUUUUAUCAAUAGUGAUCGGUUGGUGAAAAUGUAUUGCGGAUGUAGAUUUGAAGGGGAAAUCGAAAACUUAUCUCUUACCCCCUAUAAAAGCAACCGUGUACGAGGACCCUACGGUGGCUUCUCUUGGUAAAAAAAAAAUCAAGUAAAAAGAGAGAGAAAGGUUUUCUUCCUCGUCCAUCUUCAACAAAAAGAGGGCUUUUUCUCUUUUCUUUUUUCCUGACAAGCUGCAGGGAAAAGGAAAAGUCAGAGAGAGCAUUGUCAUGAGAGAGAGAGUGACAGGUGAAAUCAGAGAAAAGACCUACUGUUUAUCUUCUCCAGAAGUUCUGUGCAUCCGACUCCUGUACCGUCGGUUCCUGCGCCGACGGUCUCCGAGCAGCAACGCCGCCGCCUCGCCCCACCGACGCCGCACCAGAUCCGCCUCGCUCCGAAGCCCACCGCACCUCCGCACGAGCACCACCGUGAUCUGCGGACUCGACGCCAGCAGUCCGACAACCGGGUCUCAGACUGCUCGGCACUCGCCGCGCCUUAGCCAGCGCGACUCCGUCCCUGCAGCAACUGAUGCCGCUGCGUCUCUGCACCCGCGAGUUCACCGCCGACGCCCGCGACAUCGCCAGCCACUGUCUCCUGCAGCUCUGCCCGAACGACGACACCGGAGCCCCGCUGUUCCCGAUCCGCGCAACCCAACGCCACCGAACCGCACCUGUUCAGAGCCCGACUUGCUGCUGACCCAUGACGCCAAGAUCAGGUCCGAGCUCCCACACGCCCGAGUGACGACCAACCGCGCUCGCAUCACCGUCCCAGGGCCUGCUCCUCUGCCCAGCUCCAGCUGUGACGCCUCUACCCGCAAGUUUGCUUGCCGCCGAUUCCCCUCGCCUGCCCGGAGCUCCGAUUGUGACGCCCUCCGACGAUCAGAACCCGCUGCCCAGAUAUAAGCCGCACGAGCAAGCCGUGGUUGAAGAAAGCAAGAAAAAAAAAAGGAUUAGGUAGUCCUUUUAUUUAUUUAUUUAUUUAUUGUUUAUUUAUCUUAUUUAUUUUCUCCUAUAUGUUGUUUUUAGUGGGAUUGUUCCUUAAAUAUGUGACUGAUAUUCCAAACAUGAAAAUCCUCCUCAAGCAAGGGAUUGAUAGUCCGAUUUUCGCGCCCGAAAUCCGACUCGCAAUCCCUUAUAAAAAUCGACAAUCCAAUCUCAAGCCCGAGAUUUGAUUCGCGAUUUAAAAUUAAAAUUGGUCAACCCGAUCUCAUGCGCGAGAUACGGUUCGCCAAUUUUUGGAUAUCAAUAUUGUCUUGUUUGAUUUGAUAUCGUGUGUUUGGAUCAAUUUUAUUUUCAUAAGAGAAAAAAUCAAAAAAAAAAUUCAAAUUAGGAUUAAGUAUGUUUUAGAAUAUUCUUAGUCUUAGGGUUAAAAUCUCAAUCUGAUUUCGAAUUUUUUUUUAAAUAAGAAAAUCAAAAAGAAAAAUCCGAUUAAGGACUAGUUUUAGUUUAAAUUAGGAUUUAAUAUGACUUAAUCCCUAGUUUAAAUUAGAUAGAAUCUUAAUCUAGCUAGAUCAUUUGAAAUUUCAUAAAAUUUGUCUUAGGAUAAAUUAGUUGCAAUUUCUAGGAUAGAUUGCAUUUUUUUUAAUAAAAAAUGUCAUAUGCAUAUGUCAUGUAGAAUUAGGGCAUUCUUUGCACGUCAUUGCAUGCUAAGAUUACAUAUUAUAGGUUUAGAUAAUUUCUCCUAAAUAGAUUGCAUGCUUAUUAGGAAAAUAAAAAUCAUGUGCACGUCAUAUAGAAUUAGUUUCAUACAAUGCAUGUCAUUUAGUGAUUUUUGUUAGGUGCAUUUAAUUAGAAAUUUCCCGUCAUUAGAAUUAGGUCAUUAGAUUAAUUUAGAUUACAUAUUUAGAUGUUGCAUUUCUUUAAUUUCGAAUCUCAUAGAAAAUACAAAAAAAAAUUAUUUAGAAUAAAUCAUCUCAUGCUUAGUUAUGUCAUAUUGCUUAGGUCAUAUAGCUAAGUCAUGUUGCCAUGUCAUAUCAUUUCAUGUUAAAUCAGUGGCAUGCAUUGCAUAUUGCAUGAUUUUCAUUAAUUAAGUGAAAACAAAACAAAAAAAUUGCGUGUUAAUUAGAAAUCAUAUUUAUGACUGCUGAUGUGAAUUCUAAAUUAACAUUGCAAAUGUUUUUGUUGCUUUGAGGUAAGUUCUGCAUCAUUUAUUCAUUUGCUUUCUUGAGUGUUAAAUUGAUGGUUUGCACACCUGCAUGGUCACCUCACAUGCUAGAAUUUAAAAUUAAUUCAAGCUGCCUGCAAAAACAUUUUUGAAAUUAAAAGAAUGGUACCGAAAGGGCGUUAGAGAAAUCUAACGUAACCAAGUCCCCGUACCCAUAAUCUCUGGUUCGUAGGAGUAAAGUAAAUCUCCAAUUAUUUUACUUGGGUUUCUAAUCGACCCAUCAAAAAAUAGAUUAGUGGCGACUUCUAAUUAAAAAUUUGCAUGUUAACAAUUCAAACCUAAGUCGCGAAUUGGUAUGGGCUUGGGAGAGCCCGAGUUAAGUUUAGGCUUAAUAAUCCAUUAGCCAAACCCUAGGUGGUUCAAACCCUAGGUGGUUCAAACCCGAAAAAAUUGGUCGCGACACUGUCCUUAUUUUUAAUGCACGAACCUCUUGUUUGCGGAGUUUUGGCCCUGGAUGCCCGGUUUACCUUUCUUUGGCUCUGCUCUUGAAACGCUUUUGAAACUUCUUCUACGUGUGCUUGGACGACAAUGACCUGACUUUAGAACCAGAAAAUAAAUACGAGGUUGGCAUGUGCUUUUUUCCCAUUCACAAAAUAAUGCCAAAGCUAGCAGAUCUUGCGGUUCAAAUCUAAUACAAGACCCCAAAAAAAAAAAAAUUAUCAUAAGAGUCAACGUGAAAAGAUCAAGAGCACUAGAAAUUUAAUUGAUUCGGUCCAAGUGUUGCUACUUGCAACCCAUCGGGAGAGCAAGUCAUAAAAAAACUCACUAUCAAUUCUAGAGUUACAAAGUUCAGAACAAUCAUCCAAAAAAUCAUAAAUUUAUUGUACGGCAAUCAAUUCAAUUCUAAACAUUUAAUUUGGUCAGUUUAACCCUAAAGUUUUAGACAAUUUGACAAUUUAGUCAUUCCGAUUAAUUUUGGUUUGAGAAAACUGACGCGAAUGGUUUUGCAAUUUUUUUCUCUUCUUUUUCCUAUUUCCCUCCGUCAAUUGCGAAGUAUCACCGAUGGCCAGCAGUGGUUGUCGGCCACAAGCUAGGGCCAACAAGGUUUGGGACACCCUCGUUGGCAAUAGUCCUCAUCAAAUUUGGGUAAGGGGUGGCUAGUGAGGGUGGCCCUCGCCAGAUCUAAUGAAGGUAACCCUUGCCUAUGGCCGGCAACCAAUGGAAGGAAUAAAAAUAAUUGAACGAAAAGAAAAGAAUUUUCAAAACAUAAAAUGAUUGUAAAAAUCCUCUAUAUUAGCACUGGUCAUGUCUUGUAGGAUUGCUGGCACUGAUUGGAUUGUUACGUUAGUAAUUUCAAGCCAAAACUAGUUUGAAGGACUAAAUUGACAAAUCAUCAAAAAGUUUAGGAGUAUAUUAAUUAAAUUUAAAAUUUUAGGAUUUAAUUGGCCGCAUUCUAGCAUUCUAGUAAGUUUAUAACUUUUUGGACAACUUUUCUUAUAGAGUCACAAUCAAUCACUCAAGCUCUUGCGUGUCUCCAAUAUUCCAAUGUACGAAUCCUCACAAGCCUAGUAAUUAUCACACCAAGUUUCGCAAGAAGCUAAAAAAAAACACCUCCGCCGUGUUCGUGUUCUCAAAAAGAAAAAAAGUCAAAAUCAGACUUUUAAACCCGAGAUCACGUCCAUACUGGAUGAUCAUUAGCGAAAUUAGUAGGCUAGGUGCCGCUCAGGGCGGGCAACUCGGCCACAAGCUGGCCGAUCACCUGGCCCAUGCCUAGUAAAUUUCAGCUACUAGGCUUAACCCGACCGCCAUCCCCGGCCUUUCGGUCUAUGUGCUGAGUCCCUUCUUUUAUCGCGCCACGAACGCCUUCUAACUUGUCAUGGACCUAACUCAAUCUUCAGGCUCCAAUGUAAACUCGGACUCAGCAAGAAUUUGAGCCACAAACUCAACAGGCCGGAUGGCUAGGUUCAGAUCAUGUCCGGUUAAUUCAGUUAAAUGAACAGUGAAAGCAGUUUCCUUCCUGUUCCAACCAACCCUGUCCCGCUCAUUUUUGUCCUGAUGAUCUUCAUGGACAAUACUAGGCAAGCGUUUUGCGGCUAGAUUGCAUGGCUUGUCCUUUCCAGGAGCUUCAGUCCAACACCCCCCCCCCCCCCUCAAUGAUCAUCAGAUCAUCCAGCGGUCCAAGCGUUCAUGCGAAACCACUUCUUGCUAACAAAAUCACAGAAAAUUUUGUUGAUUGACAAUAUGGGCGAAUGAAGGAGAUUUCGAUUGGAAAUGGUGUAAAUCUGCAAUGCAAUUAAUGCAAUGGAUUUCGCCAAAGCUCAGCUCAUUAUGCAUUAGGAAUUCAAGUUGAAUGACUUCAUCAAAAGUUAUCUCAGGUGUCAGGAAAUUGAAGUUCAGCAGAACUCAAAAGUGUGGUAACCGGAAGUGUGUGUGGUAACCGGAAGUGUAAUUUUUUUGGGGACGCAUCUUAAGCAUGUGAAACAAUCACUCUGCAGGGCGUAUAAGAAAGCAUGUAAAACAAACAGAUGAAUUUUGCAAAUGUGAAAGCACCAGCCCAUAUUCCUAUAAACAUACCAAAGUCCCCGAUUGUAUUUCUCAAUCCGAUGUCAAAAUCCUAUUAGGACAAGUCUGCACUGUCAUCAUUUUCUAUUUUACACAGAAUUGCCAGGCGUCACAGCAUAAGUGGCUCACCGUGGAAUAUGAUAUCGGUCGACAAAUAUAACAAGAUUCUUAGAAUGUCCUAGAAUAGCACUAAGUGAAGUUCACACGUUCUGACUCUGGUGGGCGUCUGGAGACCGUACGAUUGACCAACUUCUCAGCAAAAUGAGCUUCUCAAAAUGGAUCAGGUGCUUGCGGACACGGUACACAUGGAAAGUAUAUAAAGAUGCCGAUAGGGUAGUGGACAGAAAUGAUAACAAAAUCAACUUCCAGAAAUCCUGAUGCAGUAGCCACAAAUCAAUAUUCAGUUAGAUUGUAAAUCAAAAGUUUGACCAACUUUAGAUAAUUAGCACACAUGAUACAAGUAACAUAUUAUCCAUACUGCCAUAGGAAGUAGAAGCAAUGGUGAUCACCUGUGGAUUUGAGAUGAUUAUUCCCAUACCAUAAGCCAUCAUAUACAAGGUGGACUGAAGUGAACUUUGGGCACCUCCAACAAUGCAACGAUCAGAUUCUGGAACCUUAUCCUGCCAAAAACGAGGAAAGGGCCAGAACAGAAAGUGAUGUUUCAGGUAUGAGAAUUUGUGAACCACUGCAAGAAACUGUUUUUGUGUAGAACGGCAUCAAAGUAUCCCACCAAAAGUUAAAGCUAGUAAAUGUGAAUGAAACCAUUUGAAGAACGCACAGGGAGCUGAAGAAUGAGGAAGAAGAUGAACAAGGAAUAAACCCAUAAGACGAUAUACUAAAUGGUGAGUGAAGUUAACGAGUUGUGGGUUUGAUACCAAUUAAAAGGAUCCAAGCCAAAAGCUUAAACAAGUAGGUGAAAGAGAUCAAGCUAAACCUCAACCACAGAUACAUCAAGAAUGCUUGUGAUAUGUCUAGGCAAUGAGCGACCGGUGCUAUUCUUUUGAGUUAUAA
rnacentral:lncRNA from 1 species